rnacentral:lncRNA from 1 species
UAUAAGUUCUCUCUACUUCCAGGUCUGAAGCACAUCGAAGCCUCUACGACCAGAGCGAGAGCUUCGGCUUGAAUUGGCGGAGGAAGCAGCGAUCUUCUUUCUCGCGAAUCCACCGAGCAGUACACCCGAGGCCGUCGCGAAGAGUACCUGCAGUCUCUCCUUCGGUACCACCGGAUUCAAAGGACUGGUUUUUCGGUGGGCACCAAUCAGCAGGUAAAAUCAACUCGAAAUGUGUCGAGUUUCGAACUUUUUAGUGUUCCGCUUGCUAUAAUUUCUGAUAACGGACUCCGCUGAGGUGAUUAGGGUUCUUGGAUUUGGGGGGGUCUUCGGCAGAACACGAGGGUCGUUUCAGGAUUUUAUCAGAAGACAGUAAGUUCACCGUCUGUAGUUGGUGAUUUCAUAGCGACUACUCUUCCUUUCUCGCGACAUUCUGACCUGAGAUGAUCUGCAAAUUUACCUUCGCGUCUUUCCAAACCAAGCCGGUCUAGGUCGAGGCGUGAAUGUGAUCCUUGGGAUUGCGCUACCUUUCGGGACUCAGACACAACUCGAUCUGCUUCGAGCUGACUUCUUCUCAAACAAACCCAUCACAGUGAGCUCCUCGAGGUAAGUACGACCUUCAUUCUCCAGUCUAUUACAAUUGAUAGGACAAAUAAUAAAAUACAUUUGAAUAUUACUAAUAAGGCGUACGGAAUAUUACAUGUGAAAUUCCCACAGACUUUUUCAAAAUCAUCAGCACAUAUAUAUUGCUAAUUUUUCUUACUACAAUCUUCUCAUUUAAACUAAUUGGUUAUGAAUGGUUAGACUGAUUGAAUUAGGUGGAAUCACGUGCUGGCCCUCAUCCCCAUAUUGUUUGCAAAACUUUUAUGGUUGACUGAGCUCCCUUGGGACAAAAGGCCUGUCUUAAGAUUACGAAAAUACCCUUCUAGACGCAAUAAAGCCUGAAACAUCCAAAAUACUCCGUUUUUGGAAAAGUAAUUCUUUUUUUUCCUUGGAAACAGUUAAAAACUAGAAUUUUUUUUCAAAUAUCGACUGUGUUGGUCUAUUCUCUUCGAUAAUCACACAAAACCUUUCAAAGGCUGCGGAUUAGAAUUGUCAACAAUAAAAAAUUAUCUGAACACAUCAAAUCAACUAGAGAAUUUUUGAAUGUCCAUAAAGCUAUUUUCCAUUAUAUUGGCAAUUUUCGUAAUUUCUAGAAAUGACAGAAAAUUCAAAUGUUUUCCAGAAAUUAUACAUAAUUGUACUGUUUUUUUUUUUCUUCGCAUGUUGGUUACAAUGGAAAACUUGAAAUUGAGCAAAGCUGCUGGUUUCAAUGCACUUACACAUAUUUAAUAUAUGGACAAUUUUUAGGUGGACUGUCUUAGCAGAUUGAAUUGGAGAAACUUGUCACAAAGUGUGGUUUUCAUGUAAUUUAAUUGCUUACAGCAACUACGUGACUUUUAUGUAUAUAUAGCAUAGAAAGUUACUGACCUACCAUAGAUUUGACAAUAUGAUUAAUGCACGUUUAGGAUGGGAGAGAACGUAGCAUUCACAGGAGGAAGUACUUCUUUGAUAAUAUCAUAAUGAAAAAUUAGCAAGAGCCACAUUCAUCUGUUUAACAAAAUGGUUUAUAAGUAGAUAUGAACAGAAUUGGUCAUUCUGUACUCUGGUCCAGAUUGUGCUCUCUCUCUCUCUCUCUCUCUCUCUCUCUCUCUCUCAUGUUCGGCCUCUCUUUUGCAGAACAAUUCAAAACUAUCAUCCUCAUUCGCUUUCUUUGAUCUUUUCCCUCUCGAGAGUUCUCACCUAGGCUUGUUUAGGGUCUCCUCUGUCCGAUCUCGCACCUCUCUUUGCGUCUCAGCUCGCGGGAGGUAAUUGACUUUUCAUGUCUAAUUAGCGUGUUGUUUAUAUUGAUCGGCUGCUUUGUUAUUGGAAUGAUUAUGGGCUGAACUAGUGUGUUUUGGGCCCUUUUUGUCUAUUGGCGAUGUGGGGGUGGCUGCUGAGUAGCUGAGGAGGGUCUUUUAUUCUUUCUUUGGAGUCGCUGCUGCCUGUUGAUGAGGUAUGUCCCCCCGCUCAGAUUUGACUUCGGUGAAAAAAGAAAUCCUUUGUUUUCAACUUUAGAUGUGGCUAAUGCCAUGAUGGCCUUGUUGUCAGAUUGUUAGUUGCGUUCAAUUCGGUAUUAAUCUUUUGUUGAACUAGAAUGCGUAGAUCUGCAAGUGCGCCAGACUCUAUUGCGCGCAAAAUUUCCAUAUUUUGCUUGAAUCCAGAGAUCUUUUUUUUUUUUUUUAAUGCGUUGUGAGGUUUCUCUAUGUUUGAAGGUCCUAGAUCAAUUUAUAGAAAAAUAAAUCAGAAAAAUAAAAGUCAGCCAGUUCGGGGUCAGCUAGUUUGGUUCUCGGAUACAAAAAUGGAGAACCGCUUAUUAUUGUAUAAAUUCCUAAUUCUUAGCUUAGAACCUAAUCAUCUGAAAUCAAUCAUCGUAAGAGUAAGUCUUCAGUUAAAGGAGAUUUCAUUUGACACUUCAUUCCCUUCUUUUUUAUGCUUUCUCCGAAAUUAUCUUCUUCUUCUUUUUUAAUAUUUCGCAUACUUCUUUUUUCAUUGGUCUACUGAUUUUUCAAGAGCUCAAUAAUAUGCCAACAAAAUUUUAAUAAAAGAAAUGACAGUGUACAAGUAUUUCAUAUAUCAUUAGUAACUUGAUUUUAAUCUGUCAUGCUCAUUGGGUGUCAUUUAAGAAAUUAUAGCUCUAUUUUGUAGACAAUAUAUCAAUCGAUAAUUUAAAUAAAAUAAAAUUGGUGUCUACCUCACAUUUACAACUUCAUUAAGAAUAUAGCAAUUUUAAAUAAGAUGAAAAUAUGAAAUCACCGAAUUUGAACCAAAACACAAGUUGAGAGAACAAAGAGGUCUAAGAUUGAUUGAAGUUAAGCAGGAGGGAGAGUACCCUGAUCCGAGAACAAAGGCCGAGAGACUUGUUCACUUUAGCAAUUCUUUUUUUUUUUUUUUUUCGGAAAAAAAUCAAGUAUAAGUUUCGUCGAGCGGUCCUUAAAUACCACAAAAAUUCAGAGACUUUGGACAUUCUUUUUAUUUAUUUUCCAUUGGUUUUGUGAGCGGUGAUGUGUUUAAAGAUAUAGCUGGGGAUUUUUGUCGUGUCAUGUCGAAGUAGGAUAUAACAUGAAUAUGACAAAAGCUGAACAAGAAGUGUUUAGUAAACGCAUUGAACCGCCACGAUAUGAACACAACUCUUUUAAUAAAGCGGGUCAGAUGACACGACACAACAAAUGCAAAUAUUAAACGUUUCACCAUAUGAAAUGUCAACAUGACACCAUAUGAUAUGCUAAUUUGUAUACAUGCAAAAAGAUGCAACAUAUUGCAUUACAUCUAAAGCAAAGAGCAAAAUUGCUUCCCGCAGUAUUCAAACUACAAGUGGGACGCAGCUUUUUGUAUUAAUAUUAAUCUUAUUUCAGAGCCAUAAAUUUUUAUCCCACAAAAGGCCCAAUUUUGAGCAUACUAAAGCCAUAAAUUUUAAAAUUUUAAAAUGAAGAAUGAAAAAACAGGCAGACCAUGAGGGGGAAGGCUAAAAUUCCUUGAAAUAUGUUCGUAUACAUGUUGGGUGGAAAUGAUGUAAAUGGAACUUAAUUUCAUUGAUAGACUUGAUUAUCCCUCAUUUAUUCAUCCUUAAAAAAGGAAGCAAGGCCAAUUUUGGAAGAAAAGUGCAACUUUUACAUUUCCUAAUUUCUAUGCACUUCUAGAAAGGGAAAAAGAAAAUGUGGGCCCAAAAGGAAGUAGUUGUCUUUCAUUUAGAAUCAUGUUCAUCGACUUCCUUCAUAAUUUAAGCAACUGGGCAAUUGAAAAUUUUUCCACGAUUAAUAUUUUAGCUUUAGUUAAUUUUACAUAUGAGCGAUGCCUUAAACUUGAACCCUGCAAAAUUAAAAUCGCGAGUAGAAAAGUGCACACAUCUAGAGGAUGAGGUUAUUGGGCAACAAUUACGUGACACUACAUUAGUUUUGCCAAUGGAAAUGGGAUUAGACAGAGAAGGGAUUGUGAUGAUGAGGUGGGGGACAUAGUCAGGGUUGUUUAUUAUUAGGCCGAAAAUAAUAAGAGUAAGGUUGAAGAUUAUGAUAAGGACUAGGCAUCAUGUGAGCUUAUGUUUAAGGGAAGAUGCUUCCAUAGCGUUUCCUACAUAGUUUCAGUAUCUUAGGUGCGAAUCGAAAGAAUCAGUCUUAGAAUAUCAUAGACGUGCAUGAAGUUAUGUAGUUGUUCAAUUUUUUACACUUCAAUCUGUUUUCAUAUGUGUUUUAAUAUCUAUAUGUGUUUCAACUAUGUGUUUCUAAACAAGAAAAUGAUGUGGGCUUUUCGGGGGCCUCUUUAGGGCCACCUAAUCUUCCACAGUGAAACGACGUCAGCUUACUUAACUGAGGGCCGUGUCAUCAAAAUGUCUUUCUCAAGAAUACGAACCUCCUUCAGCAUUGCCUUGGGGAGAAAUUAACGUGCACGUUGUUUGGAGUGGACCAAGCCAGCAAGCAUUUGCAGAAAAGCAUCCUAAAAGUGUCUUUUGUUGUUCAUCAAUCCUUUUAAGCAGCAGAAAAAAGCAUCUUUCAUUUCAACUUGCCCUCUCAGAUCACCAUGGACAGAGGGGAGAGUCCGAGAAAGGGAAAGAGAGCAGAGGAAGAGAGCACUGAGGGAGCAUCCACUUCUUCGUUCACCUCUCCGGUGCCCACAACACAAGGUGGUGAUCAAUAUGACGUAUUCUUGAGCUUUAGAGGCUCAGAUACUCGAAAGAAAUUCACCGAUCACCUCUACCAUAGAUUGGUCAACGCAGGGACUGUGCCUAUUUCCGUGUUCAGGGACGAUAACAGCAUCCCAAUUGGUGAGGAAUUUGGUUCACAGAUUCUCAGUGCCAUCUCACUAUCUAAGAUUUCAAUCCCCAUCAUCUCCAAAAAUUAUGCUACGAGCAAAUGGUGCCUCCGUGAGCUUAUUCAUAUGAUGGAUUGUAAGAAUAGCAUGUCACACAUAGUAUUGCCAAUUUUUUACGAAGUGAAGCCAUCGGAUGUGCGGUAUCUAGAAGGGAGUUUUGGGGACGCCUUCCAUUCAAGUCAGAAGUAUCUUAAUGAGAAGGAUAUCCUGGAAGGGCAGCGGGCGCUUAAUGAAGUCAGUUUCUUACAUGGAUGGGAAUCUGAGAAAAUUUGCCAACGGGUACUUCAUAUAACUUUUCUUUUUUUGAUAAGUUUUCUUCUUCUUGCAGAACCGAUGAGAUGCAAAUGAAUUAAUUCACUGCAGCUCUGAACAGAUCCCCAAAAUGUCCCAAUAAACAACCAUAAUGUCUUGAAGACAACAAACACCAUUACUCCCCAAGAUGUCUCUGAAAACUAAACCAACGACAACUAAAACCAAAGCUUCCCAUAGGUCCCAAGAAUUUGAUAUUUUCCUCCGGUGUAGAGCAACAAAAACAUAGAAACAAUAAUACCUUUAGCUAAUAGUAUCAAUCAUUAAACAAUAGGCGUAGAAAGGACUCCAAUGCACGGUCUUCCGAAGCUUGAUCACCACCGAAUAAAAUUGACCUCCUAUAGCCAACAAGGAUUAGCUAAGUUGACAAGGAUCGAAUGCUUUGCAAAGACUAUGUCUAGGUUCAUAAUCUCUCGUUGUUUUUGUUGUUUGACAGGCAUGAAGGAGAAUUAAUUGAGCAUUUGGUUGAAACUAUUAUAAGCAAGUUACAGAAAGAUUUUCAGUUGGAUGUGCCUCAACAACUAGUUGGAUGUGAUGGUCCUAUGAAGGAAAUUAUGAAUUGGAUAGACAGUCCUUCCGUCGAUGCUCGAAUGAUUGGAAUUUAUGGCAUGGGUGGGAUAGGCAAGACAACUAUUGCCAAGUGCAUCUACAAUCAACUCUUGAAUAAAUUUGGACAUGUCAGCUUCCUUCCAGAUGUUCGAGAAACUGUUAGGCAAAGGGGGAUUACAUAUUUACAGAGUCAACUAAUAUCGGAUAUACUACAAAGAAAAAGAGAAGUGUCUAGAAUUGAUGAUGGAAUUAAUAUAAUCAAAUCUGAAUUUAGAGGAAAAAGGGUUCUCAUUCUUCUGGAUGAUAUAGAUGACAAGAUUCAUCUUGAUGCGUUGGCUAAGAAACGUGAUUGGUUUAUGGCAGGAAGUUUGAUUAUUGUUACCACUAGGAAUGAAGCCAUUCUUGAUCAAUCUGAAUUCGAGGUAGACUACAAGUAUAGAUUGAAUGAACUGGAUGACAUGCGUGCUUUGCUUUUAUUUAAGAAACAUGCAUUUCGUGAGGACUGUUCUCCAGGGGACUUUGAAGGUAUAUGUGGUGAUAUUAUAUCCACCAUGGGUGGGCUUCCCUUGGCUCUUAAAGUUGUAGGUUCUUACUUGUAUAAAAAAAUGAAUCGAAAAGUAUGGGAAGAUGUGCGGAAGCAAUUAAAAAACCAACCACAUAGAGAUGUCCAAAAAAUAUUGCAAAUAAGUUAUGAUGCAUUAGAAGAUGGACAUAAGCAGAUUUUUCUCGACAUUGCUUGUUUCUUUAUUGGCGAAAUGAGCAAAUACGCCGUUUUUGACGAAAUGAGGGAAUACGCCGAAAUGAUCAAAUACGCCAUGUACAUGUGGGAGGAUUGUGGGUUUUAUCCAAGUCAAGGUAUUGAAGAGUUGAAGUUGAGGUGUUUAAUUAAAAUUGGAGAUGAUGGUGCAUUUCUAGUGCAUGAUCAACUAAGAGAUCUUGGAAGGAGCAUUUUUUGCCAAGGACAAUCGCUUGAGCUUGAGAAACGUACUGGACCAUGGGACAAUGACUAUAGGGGAGUCCCAAGAAUAAUAAGUCAAGUAGAGGUAAAAUAUGGCACUCCCUUCAUUUUCUCUCCCUCUUACUUUAAUAUAUUUAAUAUGGUGGGUUCUAAUUUCUCAUCUAGCAUGAACAAAUGCUCUUACUUUCUAAGGAAAAAAGAAUCGAUACAUCCACUUAUGUCCAUCGUAGAUUAGAUGUGAUAGCUAAAUAAAUUAUAAGUAUCUCAAGGAUGAAAAAGUUAUAUCAUUUGAUUAGAUUUCAUUGAUAUGAAUUACAUCUGUUGAAUUUUGAUUGACAAUCAAUUUAAGAUCCUUUUACUACAAUUUUGCUCUAUAAAACUUAUUUACUAAAAGCAUGUCAUUGUCAUAUCUAGUUGAAAAUAUUGAUAAUCUGAAGGACUACAAGAAUGAAUUUAGAUGAAGUAUAAACAUCAUAGAUCAUAUAAAUGAAGAUUUCUAGGUUAAAAGGAAAAGAAAGAUAGUAUGUGCCAAUUACAAUAACUGAUAAUUAAUUCAAAACAAUAAAAUUUGGAAAAAAUUUCACACUUACGACAUGUGCUUGCUUUCUAGUAUGGCGGAAUGUAUUGGGGGCUCUUGGGAUUCAGGAAUCCAAUGUUUGAUAUCAUUUUCUCUAUUUUGAUUUUGAAGAGAUGGGUCCCUCUAUUAGUUAUAUCUAUCUCUUUUCAUUCUUAUUUCCUCUUAAUAGAUGAGAUAGCAAAAAUCCGCAUUAAAAUAUUUUUAGGAAGAUCUUACUGGUUUUUAAAGUUUUAUCCCGUUGACUUGUAGCUCAUUCUCCCUCUUUCGCAUAUCUUCACUCCUUAUAAUAAGAGACAACGAAAGACGCUAGGUACACUCUUAUUUGCUCAUUUCAUGGAUUAGGUUAGGCGUAUGAUAAAGAGUGGAUUCUCUUGUAACAAACAUUUCUAUCCGCUAUAACCACCGGCCGCGGUGGCUCCACUAGAUAAGGCUCUACUGAUCCUCAACGAAGAGGUGAAGGGUUCAAAACCCAGGGGAGGUGCUAGGUGUAUUAAGUGUGACUCAGGGGUAGUGGGUCCUCCUACUUAAGUGUCACCUGGGAGUUUACAGCGCGGCUGUCGGCUGCAAGCCGGUUCCUCUAGUACCAAAAAAAAAAAAAAACAUUUCUAUCCGCUAUAAGUUGUUUUACAUUAUUUAUUUUUGUAGGGACAGUGCCUCUUAUGUGCCAGAAACGUCUAGACUGACUUGAAUAUUUAUAAAAUAAAUAGAUAAAUAAAAAGAAAACUUGACCAAUAAGCGGAAAUGUCAUGCUUAUUAUUAUAUCCAUACCCUUGUCUUCAUGAUAUAUGAUUUUGAGCAUGAAGCAAAUUUUUUCAACUAUGUUUUAUCUUUUACUUAAAUUAUCAAUGUUCAUGUCAUUUUAUUAUUAUAUAUUGUCCAUUUGAGAUCCCUCGUAGGCUCGUGGCUGAUCAAAGGCGAGGAAUUAACCCUAGCAAUUAACCAAGAGAUGGGCAAACAAAACAGCUUUACAUUCUUGAUAUAAUUCGAAAUAGUUCAUUCCUGUGAUUCAAUUUCACUCUUUGGUUGAUCCAGUAACUUCUUAACAUUAGCAAAAAGAGCACACCAUACGGGUGUUUGAAAAAUGAAAAAAAGAAGGGCAAAUUUGUUUUGAAUAGACAAAAUUGCUGAAAUAUGAUAAUUAGUGUGGGAAAAAAUUAAAUGAUUGUAUGAUUCGAGAGAUUUUUAUUUAACUUUGAAAAAUGAAAUACUUAUGGAACUAAUUUCCAAUUGUCUUGACUAUUUGAAAUAUUAUCAUGUCUAUUCUGUUAUAUCCAACUUGUUUAGUUCAUUUUGGUGAAAUAUAUGUGAAUUGCACGGAAGCUUUUGACCAAAAUUUGAGGUUUGAAAUCCCCUUUCCAUACAGUAGAUCUUUUUAAUGUAAUAUAUAGUAUAGAUCAAGGUACAUGUGAAAAUGAUGAAAGAUAGCGUGGGAUGCUGAUUACAACAAUUUAGUGACUUUUCCAACGAAUUGACUAAAGAGAAAUUAUACCCAUUGCAUUUCCUUGGUUAAUAUGUAAAGCAGAGAUAACAACAAACGUGUCAAACCAUAAAAGUGAAUUAUUGAAUUCCUAACCAAUUGAACUUUAGGGGGAAAAUAUAGGUAUUAUUAUGAAAGUCAAUCAAAGCCAUAAAAGGGAUUUUUUUUUUCACCAUCUUCAACUGAUUAAAUGAUCUGUUUAAGUACCGACCAAAAAAAGAAUGAUCUGUUUAAGUAGGAAAGUUAAACAGUACCUUUUGAUUUAUAAGAUGCAAAAAGAAACAAUGCCAUUCUUAUGGAAACGAACAUAUGACGAUUAAACAAUGUCACCACGUCACUUUUUAGUUAAUCGGUUCAUUUUUUAGUUACUUUGAGAGCAACUUUUUUUUUUUUUUUUCAAUCCCUGUUAAAAUUGCUCACCAAUGUCAUGAUGUCACUUUUUAAACAUAACGUUUCAGUUUUCAAAGAAAUGAUUUAAGAUUUUUUAGAUAUCUUCUAAAGAUAUUUAAGAUAUUUCCUUUGAUUUUUUAUAUCUAUUUUGAUUAUAUAUAUCUACUUUGACUUCUUUCGAUUUCCUCAAAUUGUCCUAACCAUGUAAUCUUUUCUAUAUAUCAAAAUAUAUUGAAAACUCCCCAUUUUUUUCUCUUCCGCAUUAUUACAUUUAACUAAUGAAAUCAAAAUCAAGUGCUUCCUUAGCCACUUACAGGUGGCCCACGGGCAUCCUUUAACAAAUUCUUUUGAGAAAUUAUACACAUGAAAAUUUACAAGUAAACAAUUGUAUUUUGUAAAAUGGUUUCAUGUAUUUUGUCUUAAAUAAAAGUCCAACUACUCGUGCUGCAAAAUAAAAAUAAAUAAAGGGAAAAAGAUAAAACAUUAAGGUGCAUUUGCCUUAGUUGUUUUAAAGCAAUGACUAUUUUUUUAUUAUUAUUUAUUUUCACAUCAUUUGUUCAAUUUUCGAAAGGUCGGCAAAAAUAAAAAUCAAAUGUGAGUUCACGUGUCCAUAUUUCUAUACGGAAAGGAUGGGAAGGUUACAGAUCGUGCAAGUCCAAGAUUUCAAAAAGCAACAACUAAAAAUUUAAAAAACUCGCAGAGACCCAUCUACGACAUGAUGAGGGCACCUGCAAGCGACGCCUCUUGCUUCUACAACAUUUUGAGGGCAGCUGCAAGCGGACCUUCCAACGACGAACUCCUUUAUGAAGUGAGAUGGCUUGAAUGGGAAGUCUUUGGAAGCAAUUCGUAUCUUCCGCCCUUCACUUUGCAUCUACCGAAAUUAUCGGUGCUGAUGUUAGAGGGCAUCGGCUUGACACAGGAUUGGAAAGAAUGGAGUUCAUUCAUGGUAAGAUUGGGAAAAAGAGACAUUCUCCUUGCGAUUUUAGGGUUUGUUUGUUUGUUUUUUUUUUUUUUUCAACCGAUCAACUCCUCCUUUGAUGGCUUAUUCUCUUUUUGUAUCAGGCGUCAAAGCGGCUCCAAAUUCUCAAGUUUAGAUAUUCCCCUAAUUUAAGAAGUACUCUUGAUCUGUCGGCUUUCACACAGUUGAAGAUUCUCAAUUUGAGCGGAUGUUGGAAAUUGGAGCAUCUCCACCCUUCUAUUGGCAAACUCACGAGCCUCGUUUCCUUAGAUUUGAGUUACUGUGAGCAUCUCAAGGAGCUACCACAGGAGGUAGGCAAAUUAAAAGAUUUAGAAGAACUUUUAUUAGAUAGAUCUGGUAUUACAGAGAUUCCUACGUCUAUUGGUUCUCUGAGGAAGCUGAAGAAACUGAUUGCCUGGGGUUGUAAGUCACUGAGAAAAAUCCCUAGCUCAAUUGGGGAUUUACAGAAUUUGCAACAUCUUUGCUUGGAUUGUUCUGCAAUCGAAAAGCUUCCUAGUGCUAUUGGUUCUCUGAGGAAGCUGGAGAAACUGAGUGCAAGUGGUUGUAGGUCACUGAGAGAAAUCCCUAGCUCAAUUGGGGAUUUACAGAAUUUGCAACAUCUUGACUUGAACGAUUCUGCGAUUGAAAAACUUCCGAGUGAAAUCGGUGACUUGCCUUCCCUCCAGAUUCUCAAUAUUGCUGAGACGCCGAUAUCUGAUCUGCCAGAGAGCAUCCGGAAUCUUUCUUCUCUCCAAUCCCUUCAACUAUAUGCUUUUACCAAGCUCUGCUCGCUGCCAGAGCUUCCUUUGGGCUUAACGGAUCUGGCGGUCUGUUGUCAGAGUCCCACGUUGCCACAGCUUUCUAGCCUAAUCCACCUAAAAAAACUCUUUCUCGACCAUUGCCAUCUACUUGAAGACAUCCCUGAGCUUUCCUCAAGGCUCUUGGAACUCACUAUUGACGAGUGUGAUAAGCUGAUAUUGCUUACGCUCGACCGAUUCGAGUACUUGGAAUACUUUUAUAUGAGAGAUUGCAGUUUCAUUGAGAGAUUGGACCUUUCAUGUUUAAAUCAUCUGAAAAAAUUAAUGGUUGAGGAUUGCAAUAACCUAGUCGAAAUUCAAGGCCCUAACGGGGCAAAGUUCUUGGAACCGUUGGAUUUUAUGGGAUGCAAAUCAAUGGAGACUUUGCCAGAUGUGAAUGGAUGUCAGAGGUUAGAAUCUGUAGUAGUUCGAAAUUGCAAGAAACUUACUCAGCUUUGGGGAUUUGAAAAGUUGGAUAUAAUUACAUUGAAUACUAGUGGCUGCGACUCAUUGGAAAGAACGGGCCUCUUUGAUAAUUAUGAACAAUAGCUGUCUUUUGACUCAUGAAGUGAUGCUUCCUCAACGGAGGUAAAUAAAUAGCAACAAUCAUUUUUCUUCUGAGAUUCAUGACCUACUUUUCAUUGCCAUCUUCUUUUGACAAGAAGUUUUCCAUAACAGGGUUCUGUACUUUCCUAAAUUGCUAGUCUUACAUAAUUGAAGGAGUGGGGGAGUUGCUCAUAGAAGCUGACAUCAUGCUUCAGCCAAGACCCAAAUGUCAAUAGAAGACAUUUGUUCAUCUAGUAAGACUCUUCAUCCUUCAAACGGCCAGGGUGAGCAAAUAGACUAAUACUUUUCUUGAAGCUCUAUUUUUUUAGAAUGAUUUGCUCCACAUGGUGUAUCUAGUUAAUUGAUUUCGGAAAUUCUGGAUUUGCCUGCAUAUAUUGCUAUUUUGGUUAUGUUAUUGCAAUGUUUUUUAUUUAUCCAUCCAUUAGCAGCUUUUUUAGACUGCAAACAGAUGAGCGGCUUGUGAGGCAAGGAUGAAAACAUCAAACAUACGUAAACAAGAAUUCCUUGGUGAUUUCCAGUUCCCCUCUCGGUGAACUGGGAUUUGAAGUUUUCACCUAGAGGCCAAUGAUCUUCCGUUACUCAAUAUUGUCAACUACGCCCAGAAUUUCCCGAUGUCCAAAAGUUCAUAGUUUCUUUCUAAAAAUCCUUGGUCAUUUUGAGUUCCUUCGUGUCAAACUUGACUAAUGGCAGAUGUCCUGUUUGGGACAAACGCCUUCUGGUUUUUCAUGAUGAACGAAAACCCUGUCAAGUUUCUUAAUGUUCCCUUGAUGCUCCUCUUGAACCUCCUACAAGAGCAUCAAGUCCCAGUAAGUAUAAUGAAAUGAGCUAAAAUUAAAUAUAAGGUUGAAGUGUUUUUGUUCAGUGAUCAAGAAAAAGAAAAUGUUAAAAGUAGUUUUGACUAGUCUGUCAUGUAUAAAUGUGGACCAGCUUAACAUUACCAGUAGUCAAACUGUUGUUUUGAAAGAUUAUUAAGCAAGGUAAAUGGGUGCUGCCUCUAUGACAAGUUUGGUUGGUCUAUGUAAUGAUCUAGGAUUACUUUGGGACUUAAAUUCAAUUAGCUGUAUCGAUGACCUUUUGCAUUAAUAGACAAUUUUUUGCCCAUCUGUGAAACAAGCUAGGACGAGGAGCUCAAGAAUUUGCUAAUUAGUUUGCAUCCCGUUUGAUCCUAUUGUUGUCAUGGGAUUGCUUUAUCACAUGACUAAAUUGGGUGUGGCUAACUGGGUUGAGGAACUUCAAAAUCCAUACUGAGACGGAUCAAAAUAAAGAGAAGGGAUUUUGUAGAUGAAGCAUCAGCAACAACUGAGGACCAUCUUGCGUGCCAACCCUGGAGAUGCUCUAGGGCUAACUGGAGUGUCCCAUGGAAGUUUUGAUACUUCUAAAUUUUCAGACACUUGACUUGAUCUCAAUGUCACGUCCCUAAGUGAUUGUAAAUGUAUUUAUUUUCAGUUAAAUAUGCAUUCUUUAUGCUCAUUCGGUUCUAGCUCUCUUUUAAUCAAAUGCUAAGCUGCUGAUUUUUUUAACGUUACCUUGAUGCAGAGUUGUUCGAUGCAGAUGCAUUCUAAUGAUAUUACUUUAGAAUUGAUGAGGCUCUGCAGAGGGAGGUAUGCACUACUAGGCUCCUCCAUUUCUAUCAGUUUAUUUGUGUGAUGAUAUCCUUUGCAUGUGAUCAUAUAGGUUUUUGAUUUGAUAAGCUCAGUUCUCACGUGUACAACAUUGAAUUUGUGAAGUUGAAAUUAACCUCCUCGCAAACUAUCCCGUAUUGCUGAUACAUCUUUCUAUCCUGUAGUUUAGGCAAUUCACCUUUUCAGCUUGAUUUUUUUAACUUCAAUUUUGUUCCUAAACGCAUAUAGGGAAAGUGUUGCUAAUUGCUUACUUCUUUUAAGCCUGUUGGUUUCUUUUUCAUUGGCUAGCUAAUGAAGUCUCUGUUCAUUGUGGUCCAACUCUGAUUGGUGUCGAUGUUUAUGCAUUUGUACCUUAUAUCUCAUGGGGUAAAUUCUGAUGCUACAAUCUUGGAUAUCUUCAUUUAUUGAUAAUUAGUUACUGCUAUCUUCCUUGUGCAGAUUAAAGCUGCAUUUGAUGAAACUCGGAUAAAGUCCCCAAACACCAUGGGUUGGAGAUACGGGCAAGAAUGAGCUAUGUCAGUAUGGAAAGGCAUUACGAAGUUCUUUGCUGUUGGCGUUUAUCAUUUGCUCCAUGUUGUUAAUACUCUUCACAGGAUUCUUAAUAUAAUGCGGCCUCUUCUCCUGUGGUGUAGUAGUCCUUUGCAAGCUUUGAAAUUGUGCUAUUCUUUAGCAAAAGCAUAUGGCAAAUCUCUAGGAGGAAGACCUCAUGUGCAAGUAGUUCUGUAUGUGAAGUCAAGUAUAAUAUGUGAUUUGUUAACAAGAUUACCGUUUAGAUUUCUACUUCAAGCUACAGUUUUGUGACUGGGAGAGACUUUUUUCGUGGAAAAAGCAAAUGCCGUGGAAUCAGCAAAUAAUCUGUCAAUUGCAGCCAAGAGUUUCAAUGAAAAGGUUUCCAAGAAGACUGUAGUAUCUCAUUUGGAAGAAUUUUGAGCACAAAAUAAGGGCAUUCAUUAGUUUAGCAUCAUCUCUCUGGUCUAGUUGCAUCUAUAAAUUCAUAUGUAGGCAUUUUGCAAUCACUUUGGUCAUAUAAUCUCAAACUUGAUUUAUUUAAGCAUGAAUCUAAAAGCGGAAGAGUCACAGCCAUGUACAUUUUCAUACCUAAAACCAAGUAGAGAGACCAGUUCGUUCAUGAAGAGCAGCGUUACUUUUCCCCUUUGAGAUUCUCUCGGGUGGACGCAUGGAGCUCCUGCUGCUCGGAGUCGCUCCUCCAUGGUUGGUUGUGGCGUUUCCACCACUAAAACCCUCUCUCUCUCUCUCUCUCUCUCUCUCUCUCUCUCUCUCUCUCGGUGGAUUUGUCGUGGUACACUUACGUCAGUCUGAUCAGGCACUGGGGUCCGAAGUGAAGUAUGGAGUUGUUUUAUGCAAUUCUCUAUCAAAGGUUUGUCUGAUUCUCUAGUGUGGAUAGAGUUUAUGUGGGGUCAAUUUCUUGAAUGAGAAUCGGUGCAAAAAAAAAAAAAGAGUUUUUCUGUUCUUUCGAGUUCUUCUUGCUAAAAAAGGUGGUGGCAUUAAUUAUCUUACAUCAUCUUGAUUUGAGGUUUCUCUUUGAAUGUGGUGUUAAAUGGCAAAGAAUGAAUUGGUGGUUUGCGUGAAAAUUGUUGUUUAAGUUGUCUAGACAAGGAAGGAGGCUAUUGGUAGAAGCUAUAACAUAGUGUGUUUAUUGCAGAGAAGAGGAGAAGAAAGCGAAGAAGAUCAUAUCAAAGCUGGGACAAGAGAAGGUGCAUCUCAGUGUUCGGCUCAGUGUUCGGCUGGAUUACCAAGUUGAAAUUGGGGAGAGCAUCGCAAUCUCAGGAUCCACAAGAGAGUUGGGAUCGUGGAAGAAGAAUAUGGCAAUUGGCCAGACCAAGAGCGGAUGGGUAUGUGAGUUAAAACUGAAAGGAGGCGAAUCUGUCAAAUUAGAAGUACUUAUAUUAGAUUUUGCUGAUAUUACUGAGAUUCCUGUGUUUAUUGGUUCUCUGAGGAAGCUGAAGAAAUUGAGUGCCAGCUGUUAUGAGUCACUCAGGGAAAUCCCUACCUCAAUUGGGGGUUUACAGAAUUUGCAACAUCUGGACAUUAGUGGUUCUACGAUUGAAAAGCUUCCCAGUGCUAUUGGAAGGUUGAUUCCAAUAGUCUGAAAAGGGCAAUUCCAAGUGAAAUUGUUGACUUAUCUUUGCUCGAGAUUCUCGAUAUCACUUGCGCACUGAUAUUUGACCUGCCAGAGAGCAUCUGGAAUCUUUCUUCUCUCCAAUGCCUUAGCCUAUUGGGCUGUGACAAGCUCCGGUCGCCGCUUGAGCUUCCUUGGGGCUUAACAUAUUUGGCGAUCUCUUGUCAGAGUCCUAGGUUGCCACAGCUUUCUAGCCUAAUCCACCUAGAACUCCAUCUUCAGGCAUGUCAUUUACUUGUAUUGAGGAGCGUGAUAAGCUGAUAUUGCUGAUGCUUGAUGGAUUCGAGUACUUGGAAGAGUUUUCAAUUAAAAGGUGUAUUUCAAUUGAAAGAUUGGACCUUUCAUAAUGAAUUCAUCCGAAACAAUUACACGUUGAGGGUUGCAAUGACCUAGUUGAAAUUCAGGGCCAUGAUAAUUUGAAGUUCUUGGAGGGCAUAUUUAUAUAUGACUACAACUUCAUUGAAAGGCUUCUCUAUCCAAAAUCACAGUGUUUGAAGAAAUUGGUGGCUGUGAGGUGCAAGAAUCUAGUCGAAAUUGGAGGUCUUGAUGGUGCAAAGUUCUUAGAAGAGUUGGAUUUUACAGAAUGCAUAUCAAUGUAGACUUUGCCGAAUUUGACAGGAUGUGAGAACUUACAAUCUCUAAAUGUUCAAGAUUACAAGAAACUUACUCAGCUUUAGAGACUUGAAAAGUUGGAUUUAAUUGAUUUGGAUAUUUCUGGUUACAUUGGAAGCAAUACCAAAAUUAUAUGGAACACUCGUCUUUAGAAAUAAUGGACGUUCACUAUGGAAAUUGUAGUAAUAAUGAUGUGAGGUAUCUUAUACCCAUAUUGCGAUAGUGAGACUAGUCAUGCUUCUUCAACAGAGGUAACUAAGCAGUUAACAAUCAUUUUUCUUUUGAGAUUCAUGACCUACUUUUCACAUGACAGGAUUCUGUACUUUCCUAAAUCGAUAGUCUUACAUAAUUGAAGGAGAAGCAUAGUUGGUCAUAGAAGCUGACAUUAUUAUGCUUCAGCCAAGAUCAAAAUGUAGACCAAAAACGUCAAUAGAAGGCAUUGGUCAUCUAGUAAGAUUCUUCAUCCUUGGAUGGCCAGCAUGAGCAAAUAGAAUAAUGCUUUUCUCGAAGUUAUAUUUGUUUAGAAUGAUUUGCUCCACAUCGGGUAUCUAUUUGAUUGAUUUUUGAAGCUCCAGAUUUGCCUGCAUAUAUUGCUAUUGGUUACGUUAUAGCAAUGUUUUUCAUUUAUCCUUCCAGCGGCAGCUUUUUAGACUGCAAACAGUACAGCAGCUUGUGAGGCAAAGAUGAAAAUAUCAAACAUAGGUAAACAAGAAUUCCCUAGUGAUCUACAGUUUCCCUCUCGGUAAACCCGUGAUUUGAAUUUUCACCUAGAGGCUGAUGGUAAUCUGCUGCUCAAUGUUGUAAACUACACCCAGAAUUUCCCUGUCCAAAUUUCAUAUUUUCUUUGAAAAUCCUUGGCCAUUUUGAGUUCCUUCGUGUCAAAUUUGACUAAUGGUAGAUGUCCCGUUUGGGACAAAUGCCUUUCUGUUUUUCGUGAUGAACGAAAACCCUGUCAAGUUUCUUAAUGUUCCCUUGAUGUUCCUCUUGAACCUUCUAAGAAGAGCAUCAAUCCCCAAUAAGCAUGAUGAACUGAGCUAAAAUUAAAUAUAAGGUUAAAUUGUUUUUGUUUGGUGAAAAAAAAAAUGUCAAAAGUCGUUUUGACUAGUCUAUCAUAUAUGAAUGUAGACCGCCUUAACAUUACCAAUAGUCAAACUGUUGUUUUGAAAUAUUAGCAAGCAAGCUAAAGUGUUGUUGCUUCUAUGACAGGUUUGGUUGGUCUAUGUAAUGAUCAAGGCUUACUUUGAGACUUCAAUUCAAUCAGCUGUAUCAAUGACCUUUUGCAUAAUUGGACAAUUUUUUGCCCGUCAGUGAAACAAGCCAGGGUAAGCAGCUCGGGAUUUUGCAUCCCAUUUGAUCUUAUCGUUGUCAUGGAAUUGUUUAAUCACAUGACUGAUUUGGGUGUGGCUAACUUGGCUGAGGAACUUCAAAUUCCAUACCUGAGAAUGAUAAAAUUAAAGAACAGGGAUUUUGCAUAGCUGAGGACCAUCGUGGGUGCCAAACCUUGAAGAUGCUCUGGGGUUGACUAGAGUGUCCCAAGGAAGUUUUGAUGCUUGUGAAGAUUAAAACACUUGAUCUGGUCUCAACAGCACAUACCUGGAUGAUUGUAAGUGUAUUUUUUUUAAUUGAAUAUGCUUUAUAUAUGCUCAUUAGGUUCUGCAUUUCCGUUAAUCAAAUAUGUAACUGCUGAUUUUUUGCAUGUUACCCUAAUGCAGAGUUGUUUGAUGCAGUUGCAUUCUAAUGAUAUCACUUCUGAACUUGAUGAGGCUCUGCAUGCAGAGGGAGGAAUGCACUGUUAGUUGUACCAUGAAAGACUAACUUGUGUGCUUAUACUAUACGUGCUGAGGAAUUUCACUUGAAAACAGAAUACAUGUAUGCAUGAUGACAAUCUCCUCCAUUCUAAUAGUUUAUGGUGUGAUAAUAUCCUUUGAAUAUUUAGGUUUCUGAUUUGAUAAGCUCAGUUCUCAUGUAUGCGACAUUGGAUUUGUAAAGUUGAAAUUGACCUACUUGCAAACUAUCCCAGAUUGCUGAUUUUGCUUGUUGGAUAUUGCAAAAUGCCCAAGUAAAAAUUAGAUCUUUCUAUUAUGUAGUUUAGGCACUUAAACCCUUUUCAGCAUACUUCUAUUAGCAUCAACUCUGUUCCUAAACACAAACAAGGGAAGUAUUGCUAAUUGCUUACUUCUCCAAAGUCUGUUGUUUUCUUUUCCAUCAACCAGCUAAUGAAGUGUCUGUUCAUCCUGGUCCAACUGAUGGAAAUGAUGUUUCCGCAUACGUUCCUUAUCUUUGAUGGGAUAAAUUGUGAUGCUACGAUCUUGGUUUUUUUCAUUUAUUGAUGAUUAUAGUCGGUGCUAUUCUUCUUGUGUAGACUCAAGCUUUUCUUCGUGAAACUCAGAGGAAGUCCCCAAACACCACGGGAUGGAGAUACAAGCAGGAAUGAGCUAUGUCAUUAUGGAAAGGCAUCCUGAAGUUCUUUCUUGUUGGUGUUUAUCAUGUGCUACAUGUUAGUACUAUUCAAAGGAUUCUGGAUGUGAAGCGACCUCUUCUCAUGGGGUGUAGAAGGCCUUUGCAAGCUUUGACAUUGUGCUAUUCCUUAGCAAAGGCGGAAUCACAAAUCGCUUGCAGGAAGACUGCAUGUGUAGGUGGUUCUACAUGUAUAAGUUGCAUAAAAUGAGAUUUGUUAACAAUAUUACCAGUUAGAUGUCCACUUCAAGCUACAUUUUGUGACUGGGAUAGAUUUCUUUUCGUGGAAAAAGUGAAUGCCAUGGAAUUAGCAAAUAAUCUGUCAAUUGCAGGAAAGAGUUUCAAUGAAAAUGUUUCCAAGGAAACUGGGUGACAAUGGUGGAAUUUUAUUCGUUGAGAGGCUGAAAGCUACUCGCAAGGUACCCAGUUUGGUUCGCUGCUUGUCUACUUGGACAUAUACUCAAUUUUUGCCAGAGCUCAAGACAAGGCCGAGGAGCUUGUUAAGCCAAGUUCGAAUCUAUAAAUACUAACACAAAUGAAGUGCGGGUCGUGUUGAAAUACUUGUUAAAUGUACUAAAUAUGAAAUAAUUCAAUUUAGAGUAUUGGUUGAACAUUCCACGAGAAAAAUUGCAAGUCGAAGUAUCGAGUCUACACUUUAUUUACUAAGUUCCUUAACUAGUGUCUAGGUGAUUAUUCCAAAGGGCAAUAGCUUUGUGUUUGACUAUUUAUAGAAUAUUAGUCACAACUUUAUCGGCUGAAUUGAUUUGAUGUUGGACAACUAUGAAUUGACCGGAUAACUAGAUGAGCGUGUUAAACCAGGUGAACCGAUUUGGUUUUGUUCAUGAGUUUUCAUAUUUCCUUUGCUUCUCCUUCGAUUUCAUGCCGGCAAUUUGCUUCGAGCUUGUUUUUGAAAGUUCUAUCACAAUUUACAUCAAGAUCCUAUAAAUUACAGCCAUUUGAACAAUAACUAAGCAAUUUUUUAUAGGAUUAAAAAAGGUUCCCUUUAGGCUUUUCAGUUUUCCACAUUUUUGUAACUUCAGGCUCAUCGAGACGGUACUUGAAAAAGGAAAACUGUCCUCAAAUCUAAAUGGAACCACGGAAAGCCUUUUGUUUUAUUUAGCACCGGCGCACGGCAAUUUAGAAUAUCUAGCUUCGGCAGUAUACGUUGUCAUAUGAUGAAUUGUACAAGGAAGAGGAACUGUAACAGACAAAUUAAGGUAAUUAGGGGGUUAAAAAAACCCCAAAAACAGAGGUGUAAACAACAUUUGGCCAAAACAAAGUCGUAACCAACAAAAUCGACCACGAAAUAGAUCAAAACGUCAAUCCUAAAAAUACAACUAUGCAGCUGGUUUUGCAAUCGGCAUCAAAUUUAUUAGGAAAAGAGGAGAAAUAAACAAAUCAGACAAUUUUACUUUGCAUGGGGAUGGAUACAGAAUCUUGUUACAAAUGUAUCAGAAGGUAAGAAAAUUCAAAAAGAAAAAAGAAGAAUUGGAAAAUAUAAAUAUAUACGACAAUCACAUACAAGUCGUCUCAUUUUCCUAUGCUUUGAAUGCUGGAGAUAAAUGAAUAAGACGAGUUGGAUGAACAUAAUACCCGAAAGAUUGAACAUUGUGGCACACUUCUGAAUAUUUGAUUACCAAUAGAUACAUAUAAAGGAGAACACACAUAGAACACAGCAAACCUCUCUGUUUCCUCUUUCUCACCCUUCUUCUCUCUUGAUGACGAUGAACACGGUACUCCGUAAUUUCUAAUAAUUAGAAUCGACGUGCGAAGGUCGAGCAUUUGCGCUUCAACCAUCGGAACCCUUGUUUGAAAGAAGCCUUGAACUUGCCUUCGACCGAAUAAAGCUUGUAUCUGGCCACCCUCCUCUUCCUCUUCUUCUCCGGGUCAUUCCACCACGAUGCUUAUACUGCGGACUCCUUCACGUUGUCUAGUCUGUGCGGGGGCGAAGCGUGUUCGAGCAUGCGAGGCCGGGAUUUGGCUACGUACAUCUGGUUUUGGUUAAAAGUUUGGAUCGUCAUGAUCUCUAGACUUCGGCCAACUCCCUGGGAUCAGUAGCUCGGCGACCACGGGUCCAUCUGCGUCCUCAAUCUCUCUCCUCUCUCUCUCUCUCUCUCUCUCUCUCCCGGCCUCGACCUCUUCUCGGAUGGGAAGGAUUUUUUUUUCACAGAGAGAGAGAGAGAGAGAGAGAGAGAGAGAGAGAGGGGUCUCCCUAAUGUUAUGAUAUGGAGAUGACAGCAAACAGAGAGGUGGUUCUUUCUGUUGGAGAUGGAAACUUCCAUGUAAGAGAGAUAGGCGACCAGGAUUUGGACCUUCUAUUUUUAACAUUGGAUAUAAAUCCAUACACUUUUUUUUUUCCCCUUUCUUUCGAAAAUACGAUGAUGCUUUUCUUUUGUUAAGUGAAGUUAGAGGUUACAUGCUACUAAGGCUUCUAGAUCUUUGAUACUAAACCGUGAUGCCGGAUUUGGAGGCGGGAAAAACUCGUCCCUAAUCGGCUACAUUCAUGGGGUUCAUCAGGUGGUUGGAAGUUCAAUUAUUCAAAAAUAAAAGAAAGAUCCGCAACAAUAUAUCAAUCGUUAUAUUACAAGACCUCCACCAAAUCCAAAAGGAUAUAAACGUGAUCAUGCACAUACUUAAAUUGCACUUAUUUUUCGUCUCGUUCCUCCCCUUUUUGGGUUCUUCUCAUUGCCAGAUAUAGCACGCUUCGUUUCCCCAGAAAUCGCUUAGCUAGAGCAAAAGGCACGACGAAUGCAAAUUACAGCGCGCAAGGUAGAGCAUUACAAUAUCUGCAUAGAUGGCUGCUCAUUUUGGUGAAUGGCUCAGCAAGGCUGUUUGGCUCCUGUCGAGUAUAUAUCUGUCGGGUAUAUACACUCGCAGCAUAUCAAGGAAAUUCAAAAGUAACUUCGUGUUGGGAAACCUUGGGAAACAGAACUCAGAAGCAUAGAGCGUGGCCGUCGUCAGGUUUCGACCAAUGAGCUUUCUGAGGCACCUAAAUUCUCUUGAGAAAAAGCGACCCAGCACAAGAAGACGGAACCGAAGCACUCAUUGGCGAUGAAUCCUUUCCAUACGCACAUCAGAAUUGUUAAUUGGAUCACUAAGUAAUGAUGUCUUUAUAUGAACAAAAGCUAUUUACAUUACGAAGACACGCCCGAGCCCGACAGCAAAUAGCUCCAGCAGUUCAUGAAUUGAUUAACAAGCUAGUCGGUAUCCACUCAGCAUUUAGUUCUAUUCCCAACGUUCUUCUUAGUUGUCUUAGCAUUAUCCAAGUGCGAAAUCUGCAAUAAUUUUUGAAUGGUCAAACAAGCUGGCUCAAAAUUUAAGAAGAAUGUCAUUGUACUUUGGCGUUUCUCAUUGGAGAAUCAAGGAAAACUAAUAGGUGCUAUCCACUUACUACAGAAGACUUCCAUUUGAUUCUGUCAUUACCAUCCGCAGUAGCAUGCUGAGAUUGGUCCCGUAUAUGAUGAAAUAUGUGCACAAGAACAGCAGCAUCAAGAGCGGCAUAUUCCAGCUGUGAACAUUGCGAUUGCUACAUUUAGAUCAAAGAACUACUGCUCUUAUCAUACUUCGGGAAACAUAAAUGGUUAACUUUUCUCCUUUUCUUUUCUGCGCCAUGUUUUCUCCUUAAUAUACUUUAUGUUUCUUUCCCCUUCUUGGAGUUGAAAUACCAAAUGGUGUUUCAAAACAGGGAAAUUUUUUUUAAAAAAAGUAUAAGAAUAAACAUUGUUUUAAAUAGACACCACGAGAAUUUUUGUUGCGCUAAAGAUCUCAAGAAAUCGCUUAAGCAAAUGAGUAUCAUGUCUACUGACCCUAGACUCUCGAAUGUUCGGAUAAUUAAGAUAUAAAUGGAAGCCUCCAUGAAGUUCUGCAUACUGACAUCAUUCUUCCAGAUGCAUUCCACACAAUAUAAUAUGCUAUUCCAACCAUUUGAGUUCUGCUAAAUCAUGUGAUCUUUCCGGCAAUUUCCUUUCUAAAUCGUGUGAUCUUUCCAGCAAUUUACUUUCUAAGGCAAUAAUAUCAACAGAAAACGGAAAAAGAAUAUGUAAAAUAACCUGAUUUUGACUCAGAGGUUGUUGCUCCUAGUUGCUAUUCCUUCUUGUCUUGUUCAAACCAGCACCAAGUAUUUCCUAGUUAGAACCAAGAGAUAACAGUAAAAGUAAUUACUCUUCAGAGCAAAAAGUGACCUCGAAGGCACACAUCACAGAUUCCAACAUGAGUUCUGAGCAUGAAGAAAUCAACUCCCCCCUCUGCACCACUGUUAGUAAGCAAGACAGCAAUAUUAGACAUAUAAUGCAAGUCCACUUUACCUCAGCAAGCCCCGAGUGACCACCACUGGAUUUUUUAAAUACAUUCUGAAUGUCCAACAGCAUUUCAAAAUGGUUGAAACAUCCCAGAGUUUCAUAGGAGCUGGCGAGUUGCUUCAUAUCACAUUGAAAAUUAUAGCCUGCAUAGGGCAGGAACAUCAGGAAAUUCUGUGGAAAGCUAUUCACUUCAGCAAAACAAACAUACCGAAACAUCUAAUGCCGGUCACCCUUAGUAAUAUCAGUACCAAACAUGCACAAAUAAUUAUUCCUUGUCCAAACUCUUGCUUUGCGAUGCCCCAAUGUAAGUCUGGUACCAGAAAUUCCAAAUUCUUAUGUCCGUACAAUGAUUUUUUUUUCCCUAGAUUAGUAGACACAGAUUGGUGAUACCAGAUUAAGGCUGAUGCUUGGACCAAGAAGCAAAGGAUAGAAUACAAUUACGCUAAAUAAUUUCUCAUACCAAGCUUUAGAACACGAGGAGACUGUAAAAUACGACUCAGGCAGUAUGUGGCACAUCCCCUGACAAUUUUAUUAGAUCAAUGAUGAAAACACUUCUGCUGGAAGCAAUCUGCAUGAUGGAUACCUGAAAAUCAAGAUAAACAUCAGACUUAAUUAAUUUCUGACAUUAAUGGAUGACCUUUUAAGAUAUUCGUGUUGACAGAGAGGUCAUAGUGGAAUGAGCCAAUCACAAAGCUGACAACAAGUCAUGACAAUUGACACAAAGUCGCCAACCUGAGACUUGAUGGUCCCUUGAUCUUCCCCACCAAAUUGCAGCCACAGCUUGCUCAACCAGAACCUCUAAAUCACCUCAGCAGAGCAAGCAGCUGCUGUAAUUUGGCUGAAAAGACCAAGUCACUGCUUAGAGAAAAAUUACACACAAUUUGGUUCAAUCAGAGAGAGAGAGAGAGAGAGAGCUAAGUCGACAGCAGUAGGGACAUUGAUUGGUGAGACUACCCAUGCCAAUGGCAACAACAUAUAAGAUGUGAGAAGCAGUGACAAAACCAUCUUCUUGUAUUGUUGCCAUCUCCUCUCUGUAGUCCUAUACAAUUGACAUCUGCCUUGUCUGAUUUAAUCCAAUCUGAUAGUGGCUACCAAAUAUCAAAUGGGAAAUAGAUACUCUCCAGCAUUUUACACGAAUCUUCCAAAUGCAACCUUCAAACAAGUCCUACUUCUGGCCAAGCAUAUCCCCCAUCAAAUUUCCCAAAAGGAAGCGCACUAUAUAAUGAGUAAAGCACAUCUGAAAUCAUCUUAAAAGUUUUGUUCUCAGCAUGCCAUUUUUGAAUAUCAUGCUUCAUAAUUGAUUUCAUGGCCGUUGUAAUGUAAGAAAGACAGUGGCAAUCACCAAAAGCUUGAUGAUUACUCUUGAUUGUUAGACCAGUUAAUUUCUUUUAUGGCAACAAUGAAUUUGUUUGCAACAAAAAGGCACAAAGACAAUUUUCAGCAAGUAUAAAAAACCUCCGAGAGAUUAUGCAUAGGAAGACGAGGACAAACAGGACCUAGCAAUUACCUUGUUAGGCUUGCUGCCCUGCACAUAAUUGGGUUUCCAUUCACAGUCCACACCAACAACUUUAGAUUCUUCAAUACAGCAUGUUGCCGUAAGCAAACUAUCCUCUUGAUCAACCCAAAAACAUCUUCAAUGCCCAGUUCUUUGAGGCACAAAUAGUGCUUGCGAUGCGGAAGAGUUGCAUCCGAUUCUAAACAAGCCAACGGUUACAAAUUAGUAUAUUAGAAUAAGAGAAUGCGACAUCACUGCGAAAAUCCUACUAUUAUACUCCACAACAUGAGAUCAUCAAGGACUAAAUAUAUUGGCAUAGCGUACUUACACCAUACUGAUGAUAGAGCAACAGAAUACAGGUUUACCAGAUUAGUUUAAUACCCAACACACGCGAAGGUCUACUAAAAACAUUUCAAGGUCCACAUAAAUAUGGCAAGCAAUUGAUUCUAGAUCAUCAGACACAAGCAGAACUAUUCUUUUCCUCAAUCAUGGAGAACUAGAGACCUAAUUGCAGAUGCAACUGUCAAGUUCAAGAUAUCAAAUAAUUCAGUAAUUUUCGAGACAUAAUGACUUCAGCACUUCCCCAGAUACAAUUCAAACCAAGAUUUACAAGUUAUAGCAACAAGAGAACGUAAGCAAAACAUCCAUUCAGUACACCGAAUAACAAUAUACUGGCCAUAUAAAUCCCAAUCAGUUUGCCACAUUCUCUGACAAAAUCCAAGCAAUAUAUUGAUAAAGAUAUUCACAUUAGAAGGUAUAUUCAAACAAAGAUAGCCAUCUACAUUGAUCAACGCAAUUGCCCCAUGCUUAACUCAUAGAAAAGCAUGCCAACACCUUGUUAACUGUGCCAAUAGUAUCUUAUGCAUAGUCCAGGUACCUUAUGCAGACAAAGCAGGAAGAAACCUUAUCUAAGGUUCCAGUAACUACUUAAGGCAUCUAGUUGGAUUCUAAUAGCACAAUAAAGGUUCCACUCACGGCAGUGACCAACAAAAAGUUAACUGUUUCAGCAAAGCUAGUGCAACAACAUAAUUUUCUAAGCUUACAGGUUGGAGAAAAGAAAUUACAGCAGUGUGUUCUCCUAAUAUAUCAGUGAACAAAAUAGAAGUUGGCACACCUUUGGCUUUUGGAAAACCUUGAAGACAGUAUCGAUCACACAAUUCAUCAACUUUUUCCAGAUAACCAGCUUCCAUUGCCAAAUAGACCUUUAAAGUGGAAGAGUAAAAUCUUAAUAGAAUGAACAAAAGCACAUAAAGUCUCCCCUCUUUAUAUGUCUAACAACAGCUACAAGCUGGUAAUUUGUUAUUUUGAAACUUAAACACCACCUUCGGGGGAAAAGCAAAGGCAAGGAGGAAAAAACAACAGUAAAAGGACAAAUGUUCAUCACAAAGGAGGAGGUGGCACCACAGGAAUUUCUUACUCGAACCACAAGAUGUCAUUUAUGUACAAAGCUCAAAUGCUCUAGUUACAUCAGAAGACAUACUUAUGACUAGAAAAUUAAUCACAUUUCUCUAUGGAAGAACCAAGAACCAUUAUACAUUGCACCGAAGUCCAAUAGCAGGAGAUAAAACGUGUGAUUACUGAAACUGUUCUGCCAAUACCCCUUCCUAAGAAUAACAGGACUGAUAAAACUAUUCGAGGAACCCCUGUAGAAGGCCAAACUACCCACCUCAAAAGAUGGAUACAGAUCUACUAAGGAUGCAACUUAGAAUCGUUCAACUUCAAGUUCAUCUAAAGGAAGAUGCCACAGUUGGAAUAAAGCAUUUUAGACUAAUACCAGGGAUUCGAUGAGCUGUUUAUCACCCUUCGCCUUUGAGUCAGCGACAUCCCAGCACCCUUUUUCUGCUAGCUGCUUCAUUGAACUACAAAAGAAUAAAUUAGUCUUGCUGUUUUCAAUACAAUGGCUGCAGUAAGAAAUUUGGAUAUCCAUGCACUAUUGGCAACAUAUUAAAUAAAUCUAAAGCAAAAGUCACUUCCAAAAAAUUUUAACAGCAAUUCUUUACAUUGAUGAUAUACAUCAGCAAAUUCUUGCCGGAGAUUGUUUUUCUUUAUUGUCACGUAAGCAUACUUCAGCAUUUUUCUGUCUACAUAUUCCUGGACAAGUACACAUAACAUUGGCUUGCCCAUAAAUGUGGCCCACUUCUCUGCAGCCCUAAAUUCUUUCUUUUCCAUCAUAGCAAGAAGGAAGGAUUUCCCAAAUUGGUGAAUAGAAAGGCGCUCCAAUAGAGUGACUGCUGUCAUAUUGGACUGGGACUUUAUCAACUUGAAAAUAUAUUGCUCAAGAAAUGUUAAUGCAGUCACUGGUCUAAAGUUAAUGCUUGUAGCUUUAAGUUGGCAUAUGACAUUCUCAAGGUUUGUCAUUCUCACGUCAAACACUUCUACUACCUUCACAAGUAUCCUCUCAUCAUGAUAUACAUAACCCUGAACCAUAUCAACAAAUAAAUGUGCAGCUAAGUCCUUUGCUUGCAUGGAGUCCGCAAGCUUAGCUUUCAGAAAACGACGGAGAGAAGAUAUUAUCAAGUGACUGAAUCCCUCACAGUAAAUGUCAAAUAUGGGUAGCACAUAGAGACAGUGUAUGACAAAAGUAGCAGGUCCAGGUUGGGGCCCAUUAUUUAAUACUUGAUGAACUUGAUGUUGAAGUGCCCCAAACUUCCUAGUUGCCUUUCAAGGUACUUAAGCAUUAGAACAGAGGCAAUAUGUCCUAGAAAGGAAGUCCAGAUAGCCAUAAACCAAGUUGAUUCCAAGCAUCUAUGAAAAGAAUUGAAGGAUAGCAUCAUCCCAGUAAAUGACCAAUUAUUCCUCAUCAAAAAGUGUUAUGUCUGUGCAGCGUGACAGUAGUUGUAAAUACUGAGAUGCACAAUGUACUGCAUGUGAUUUCUAAUUGCUGGAUUUGAGGAUGAAUGUCUUACAUGGCUCCAAAACUUCAGUUUGUUCUCAGAAUAAAACUAGCAUCUAUAAAAGAGCCUCAUCUUUGGAAGAGAAGUUAAAGAAAAGUUGAUGUAUAACCAGAUGACGCAGGCAAGUUGAUACAUAUAGGAACACUAGAAAAGUCAUUUGCUCACAUAUACUGCAUAAAAUGUGAAAUAACAUUAAGGGAAACUGGAAAAUAAAUGUGGCAAGAGACUUUUGAAGGGGAAGGCAUUCUUAUACCGGAAGCAUAACAUUCUUUAAUGAGGUACAAGAAUACAAUUGGUGAAAUGUGGGAUAAAUCAGACAGAGUGUAGAGUGAGGAUCCACGAUUCAUGAGUUUCCUCUUCCAGCUGUUUGACGAUUUUAUUGUCCCAUCCCAUGGAAGCAGAACUGUCCCACAAAGAAUAAAAACAUUAGUUUACAGAAUACAAGCAUCAUACAGAGCCCUGUUUAUUAUCCACACAGAACGACAAAGCAGCCAGAACCAAAAAUCAGACACUCCAAGUGAUCUCAUAACCAUUCGCCAAAGAAAGUUUCUAUCAAUUCUCCAACCCAAGAAACUUCAUCUGAAGGCUCAUUUCUAUGCACCAAGACCAAAGAGCCAGAAUUCAACCAAGUUAAAGAGACAGAAAAGCGAAGAACCCAAAUUAGCAAUUGGAUUGGAUGUCCUCUGCGAUUGAACCAAGGUGGGGAAGUUCAAGCAGGCUUUGAGGAACUUAGGCAGAACUAGAACAAAAAGCCGUUAAACCUGUCCAAGCUCAGGGCAUGCCGGGAGAUUGCAGCUCACGCACUUUUAACUUUUUGAAAUCCGAAACUCAUGGAACUUUCACAAAACUCAAAUGUUGACACGUAAAUUCACAUAUAACUUUUUCAUAAUAUUUUGUAAUUUGAAUAAUAUCUUAAAUUUUGGCAAGGAAAGCUUUUAUUUAAGUCCAACCAAACACGCCCUUAAGAAGUAUGAUUGAAGUUGUCAUCAUGCCAUUAUUUGGUUAAAACUAGCCAACCCAUAGCAAGUACCAUGGAAAAACAUCAAAUUACCUCAUGCUCGGGAAACACUGCACCACCUGACAAGAAUGAUAUAGAGUAAUUAUUUGAUCUUAAAUGAGAGAUAGUAGGGGAGAUAUAACAACUGUUACACCUGGUUUAAGAGUUGCUGGCAGCUGAAACGAAGGGUAAGAACAUCAGAAGAGCACAUGAAGAAAGGAAGGGACAAGGGAAUUAUUACUUCUUUCACCAUCAGCUGAUCAGGAAGGACCAGUAGUCACUACUUGUCUUCUAAUUACUUUGAGCUAGAAACACAUAUCAACUACUUCAAGACUGAACAUAAAACACUUCUAAAAUUUUUGACUUAAUAAAUCCAGAUUAUGAUCUUACUCCUUAAUUCAGUAAAUCAAAUAUUUUGCAUGCUAUGAAGAUCCAUUGUAUAUUAAAGGACAUUAAUUUCGAACCAAUUAUGGGAAAAAUAAGUGAUAGAUUAUCAACCCUUGUGAGAUAAUGGCAUAGCUAACUGCGAGGAAAUAUAGAAAUCUAGAACCUGUAUUUGGCGGAAGUACUUUAAAAACUUAUUCCUCUUUGACUUAGCAUAACCCAUUUGAAUUGGACCUAAAUUAUGACUGACAAUAACACUUACAUGCAUAAACAAGAUGAAUUUUCCGGUAAGUGAUUAGAAGGUCCUAGAUGCUGCAUUGGUUGAAAUGAAGCAAUCUUGCUUGGCUACAGAAGAUUUACAAGCUUGAUGCUGCAUUGGUUGAAAUGCUUUGUUUCUGAAUAUUACAACAUUUGCCAAUUCUAUGUCAUCCAAGGGUUGCAAUUCCUCAUAACUCAGAGUUCCUUAUUUGCAUGUCGAAAUCUGAGAGCAAUGUCUUUUAUUUGAAACUGACGAUAUCAAACCUCGGGUGACAAUGUUCUUACAGUCCUUCAACACAAAUAAGCCUGUUCAGCACCAUAGAUAGUUUCCAACAUGGAAGUGAUGGAAAAUGAAAAUUGUGCACAAAAAAAUCCCAAGCCUUCAUUUCGCAAAACACUCCUAUUAAAGCCAUUGGAUGCUAAGUCCAACACUUGGAUGAUGUACUAUACUUUCAAAACAAAAAUCAACUGUUUUUAUUGGCCAAACAGUUCUAAUAUAAGUCAUUUUAGAUCUUAAAAGACUGAAGUAACUAGCAAAAGUUAGGAGUGUCUUAUACAUUUGAUCGAAUGAGAGCCCUCAUAAGCAAUUUACUAAAUGCUCUUGUACAGAGAACCCUGUGUAAGGUCCUUUGCUGUAAGCAGAAUUACAAGCAAACUGGAAACGAUCAAGGAAAGACAUUAAUUUUAAGAGCAAAGAACAGUAACACGCUAAUUUAAGGGGUUGGGCAGUUUCAUCCAUGUCAAUGGGAGGACUUGUUUCACAAUGACCAAGAAGGAAUUACAAUAAGAAAUAAAUCAAUUUCUCACUAACCAAAACCCCAAUUGCAAGAGUCAAUCAAAAGCAAGCUAGAUGAGUGGAAAGCGUUUUAAGAGUUUUCUGAAAGGAAACUCUAAACUCUCUUGAUCAAAAACCAAGACAAUCUGUUCUCAAUUCUUCUUAUUAUCCUUCUUGGCCCAAAUAUACCUCAGCAACAAAAAUAUAUAAAAAUAUGAGUUGCAGAAUCAUUGUUAAAAGAAUAAAAACUCAUGAGCCGAGAUCUGCCAACUUUUUGUUAACCUCCUAGACAACUGGACCAUUGUGGCCAGACUCUUGGGAUUUGCCCAGUAACUAUCGUGGCUUCUUCAGGUGUCCACAGUUGCUUCACUAAACGGCCAACCCUAUACAAUACUUAGACAUUCUUCAAGCUGCGUAUUUGGUCCAUGCAAUUAAACGAGCCAAUCCCAAGCCAAAUCUAGGUCCAUGAAUCAAAAACUCGAGCCAUAAAUUUAACAACUAUCACCCAAUUACGUUUGGGCAUGGGAAAAAACAUGCCAAGCCACCUUGCUUUUCUUUCUUUUUCUUAAUCCUUUCAAACUGGUGGGGGCAGAAGGGAGUGAGACAACUUCAUAGUUUUUAGAAGCAUGCCAUGGAUUCUAAAGAUUGUCUGGCCAGAAGUUGAGUGGAUAAAAGGCUCGGAGUAUUGCUUUGAUCAGGAAUAUAGCAUGUGGGAUUCCUGCUCAUUUUACUACCAAAUAUAUCGUCGUCGUCUGCACUAUCAGUAGAGGAAUCUACCUCAAGGAAAGUUCAAUUUUUCUCAGGUCAUGGAGAAUCUUCUAUAAAAUUGACAUCGUACACAGCAUUGCAUUCACCAUCAUUAUUGAUAUCUUGGCCAAACAUAUCAGUCAAAACUGCAGAAGCCUCUGAUUCCACAGCUUGCAAAUCAUCCCAAUCCUCAAAAUUUUUGCAUGGUUUCAGGAAGUUCUGCUAGGAAGUCAUUGCCCCAGUGCUCAACAGUGAUAAACUCUUGACCUUCCUUGCCUUAAGAAAACCAAAAGAAGAAAGAAAUGAUUUUGCAAGUUCCACAGCAAACAAGAGAUUAAAUAAACAAAAUCCACAAUAUGUAAUUUGCACUUAGUUCAGUGAGACACCAUAUUUAUAUGCAGGCAAGACACCAUAUGUAAAUUUCGCUAGUCAAUAAGACUGCUCCGCAAAACCCACAGAGAAAUGGGGACGAGAUCAAUGAACUAGAUUUAACCAGCUCUCUGGUCCAUUCACAUCCAAAAGGCAGACCAUUCCACAGCCAUCGUCAGAAUGACGACUAACCCCAAUAAAUCUCCGUAUUCACGACUGCACAAUCAAUCGANNNNNNNNNNNNNNNNNNNNNNNNNNNNNNNNNNNNNNNNNNNNNNNNNNNNNNNNNNNNNNNNNNNNNNNNNNNNNNNNNNNNNNNNNNNNNNNNNNNNUAUGAUUUUUUAGCAUGUAAUCUUUGUGUAACUCGUCACUCAAAUUCAGUGUGGCGCGUCACUUAUCCUUAUUCAUGUAUCCUUUCUAUGUGACCCCUUGAAUCUUUUGCCUGCAGACAUGCUUUUGUCUGAACAAAUAUGGUGGCAGCUCGUCAUCUCUCUUAUUGUUUCACCAUUUACAUGAAUCUGCUGGCUGAGAUUGAGAAAUUGGUUAGUUCAACGGGGGGAGUUCUAAGACCAAAACUUCAGCAAUGUUAGCUUCAUAAUUGCAAAGAAUAUUUUGGCUGCAAAAUGCAAGGUUUUAAGUCUUGGAGUUAAUAAUUUGAAUUUAGUUUAAGAGUUGCGAAUUUGUUGUAUCUUGUUAAGGUUAAAUCACCUUAAAUGAGAUUCAUUAUGCUUUUUCACUCAGUAUGGGAAGUAUUGUGGGUAGUACUCUCAUUGAGUUGGCUGAACUAAAGAAGAGUUUCCUCCAUAUUUUUUUGAAUAUUCCGUGUGCAAAGUCUUUUAUGAAUUUCAUCUUGAAAGAUAAAUUGUAUUUAUCAAUUAAUGUUGUCAUCAUGCAGUGGGCUUUAAAUGUUCUGAAGAAACCUGUUGUCGCGAUUAAUUGGUUAUACCAAUGUUGUGUUGUGCACUUUGUUGUACCUCAGGAGUCUUACAGAGUUCUUCCAUUUUCUGGAUCGACAAUGUAUGUGUCACAAGAAUUCCUGCACAUACUGAUUAUUUGAUAUAGCUGCUGCUGUUGGUUGUCCUCCAGUUCUUCAAUUUUGAUGUCCUUCAUUAUCUUAGAUGCACAGAAGGAGAUUCAGAAGCAUAUCACACAAAAUGGUGGUAAAUAUUCUGCAGAAUUGACCAGGAAGUGCACUCAUUUAAUUGCAGAAAUAGCUUUUUCUUCUUCAAGAUUAAAGUCCAGUGAUUUGCUUGCAUAAUUUCCCUUUGAUAUCAGAUCGCCGUUUGAAAAUGCACAUAUCUUUAUCUUGUGUCUUCGCAUAUGAAAACACCUUUAAGAGUUUGAAAAGAAAAAGAAAAAUCUGUAUCAUGUCAAGGUUUAGUGACGAUUAUAGUUUGAAAUAGGAAAUAGCUAUACUUGAUUAAAUCCUGGUUUUUGGUAUUAUCCUUUUACUUGGGAAUUUGAUUACUCAGAUGAGAAACAGUGAAACUUCCCGGCAUGAGAAUAUCAUUGACUUUGACUUCUAAAUCAGUCCUGAAGAAUUGUGUUCUGUGGUUCAAGGAAACAAGGUGUUAAAGAACCUACAAUUUGAACUGCCAAUUGUUAAAAGAUCCUCAGCCAUUUCUCGCUUUUCCAGUGUGAGUUAGGACUGCCUGUUGGUUGCUCAAAGCACAUUGCUCAGCAAUGUUAUUACCACUGAAUCUUUCUAUUGGCCUCAUAUAUGAUGCUCUGUAGCACUGUGAGUCCCACUAUGAUGCCCUUGACUGGCUGUAAGCUCCAGAAGAUAAAUACAAGGUUGCUAAAAGAUGGGGUCACAUUCAUAUUUUUGAAUCAACAAAUGGUUUGAUCAAUUACUUCUGGGAAAGGUGAUAUUUCAGUUACUAAAAUACCUUGUUGCUGUCACUGUAGGAACAUUUAUGGUUCUUUNNNNNNNNNNNNNNNNNNNNNNNNNNNNNNNNNNNNNNNNNNNNNNNNNNNNNNNNNNNNNNNNNNNNNNNNNNNNNNNNNNNNNNNNNNNNNNNNNNNNNNNNNNNNNNNNNNNNNNNNNNNNNNNNNNNNNNNNNNNNNNNNNNNNNNNNNNNNNNNNNNNNNNNNNNNNNNNNNNNNNNNNNNNNNNNNNNNNNNNNNNNNNNNNNNNNNNNNNNNNNNNNNNNNNNNNNNNNNNNNNNNNNNNNNNNNNNNNNNNNNNNNNNNNNNNNNNNNNNNNNNNNNNNNNNNNNNNNNNNNNNNNNNNNNNNNNNNNNNNNNNNNNNNNNNNNNNNNNNNNNNNNNNNNNNNNNNNNNNNNNNNNNNNNNNNNNNNNNNNNNNNNNNNNNNNNNNNNNNNNNNNNNNNNNNNNNNNNNNNNNNNNNNNNNNNNNNNNNNNNNNNNNNNNNNNNNNNNNNNNNNNNNNNNNNNNNNNNNNNNNNNNNNNNNNNNNNNNNNNNNNNNNNNNNNNNNNNNNNNNNNNNNNNNNNNNNNNNNNNNNNNNNNNNNNNNNNNNNNNNNNNNNNNNNNNNNNNNNNNNNNNNNNNNNNNNNNNNNNNNNNNNNNNNNNNNNNNNNNNNNNNNNNNNNNNNNNNNNNNNNNNNNNNNNNNNNNNNNNNNNNNNNNNNNNNNNNNNNNNNNNNNNNNNNNNNNNNNNNNNNNNNNNNNNNNNNNNNNNNNNNNNNNNNNNNNNNNNNNNNNNNNNNNNNNNNNNNNNNNNNNNNNNNNNNNNNNNNNNNNNNNNNNNNNNNNNNNNNNNNNNNNNNNNNNNNNNNNNNNNNNNNNNNNNNNNNNNNNNNNNNNNNNNNNNNNNNNNNNNNNNNNNNNNNNNNNNNNNNNNNNNNNNNNNNNNNNNNNNNNNNNNNNNNNNNNNNNNNNNNNNNNNNNNNNNNNNNNNNNNNNNNNNNNNNNNNNNNNNNNNNNNNNNNNNNNNNNNNNNNNNNNNNNNNNNNNNNNNNNNNNNNNNNNNNNNNNNNNNNNNNNNNNNNNNNNNNNNNNNNNNNNNNNNNNNNNNNNNNNNNNNNNNNNNNNNNNNNNNNNNNNNNNNNNNNNNNNNNNNNNNNNNNNNNNNNNNNNNNNNNNNNNNNNNNNNNNNNNNNNNNNNNNNNNNNNNNNNNNNNNNNNNNNNNNNNNNNNNNNNNNNNNNNNNNNNNNNNNNNNNNNNNNNNNNNNNNNNNNNNNNNNNNNNNNNNNNNNNNNNNNNNNNNNNNNNNNNNNNNNNNNNNNNNNNNNNNNNNNNNNNNNNNNNNNNNNNNNNNNNNNNNNNNNNNNNNNNNNNNNNNNNNNNNNNNNNNNNNNNNNNNNNNNNNNNNNNNNNNNNNNNNNNNNNNNNNNNNNNNNNNNNNNNNNNNNNNNNNNNNNNNNNNNNNNNNNNNNNNNNNNNNNNNNNNNNNNNNNNNNNNNNNNNNNNNNNNNNNNNNNNNNNNNNNNNNNNNNNNNNNNNNNNNNNNNNNNNNNNNNNNNNNNNNNNNNNNNNNNNNNNNNNNNNNNNNNNNNNNNNNNNNNNNNNNNNNNNNNNNNNNNNNNNNNNNNNNNNNNNNNNNNNNNNNNNNNNNNNNNNNNNNNNNNNNNNNNNNNNNNNNNNNNNNNNNNNNNNNNNNNNNNNNNNNNNNNNNNNNNNNNNNNNNNNNNNNNNNNNNNNNNNNNNNNNNNNNNNNNNNNNNNNNNNNNNNNNNNNNNNNNNNNNNNNNNNNNNNNNNNNNNNNNNNNNNNNNNNNNNNNNNNNNNNNNNNNNNNNNNNNNNNNNNNNNNNNNNNNNNNNNNNNNNNNNNNNNNNNNNNNNNNNNNNNNNNNNNNNNNNNNNNNNNNNNNNNNNNNNNNNNNNNNNNNNNNNNNNNNNNNNNNNNNNNNNNNNNNNNNNNNNNNNNNNNNNNNNNNNNNNNNNNNNNNNNNNNNNNNNNNNNNNNNNNNNNNNNNNNNNNNNNNNNNNNNNNNNNNNNNNNNNNNNNNNNNNNNNNNNNNNNNNNNNNNCGGGGGCAGCUGCAAUUUAUUGAUCUUUUUGGUAGUCAAACUCUCUGCAUAAAUUUUUUGACCAAAAAUAAAUAAAUACAAAAGAAGACUUUGCAUCAAUUCUAUUGAUCCGGUCUUAUAAAUUAUAAUUUACUCGUACUUCUUUCUCGACGAUAAUCCAAUUUCAGAAAAAUCUCCGAAAAUAACCCUCUAUGUCAUAAACCGAAUAAAACAUAAGUCAAAAUCCUAAUAAGUGGCCAAAGCAUUUGUAUUACUUCUUUUUAUACAACGCAUCUAAUCCAUCUCGAGAGAUUCGUUCUCGUUUUUUGCAAAAAUUGAGGUUUCUCCACUAUUAAAAAAUAAUUUUAUUGCCAAUAAGUGAAAAUGGAAAAAAAAAAAAAGAAGGGUACCCAGAUAUACAUGGCUUCAAUUUGACGGACUUUCCCUUUUCAAGAUCUCUUUCAUUUAAUUAGCAAAAAAAAGAAAAGGAAAGAAAAUUUAGUCCUGCACAAAUCGGGAUUUGCCUUGUUAGAAAUAUUCGAUUUGGCCUUUAACCAUAUUCGAGAAGAAGAAAAUAAGAAAAGAUGAAAAGUUCAAAAACGGAGGAUGGAAGAGCGAACGACGUUCCCCUCUGCCAAGAACUGCCGAGGUCGAGCGGUUCAUGCUGCGUCGUCGUUUUUUCCUUUAAACUCCAAGCGCUGAAGCUGGCGGAUCUAGGCGUUGGAGGGGGGCUCACAUGGAAACCGGAAGCCUUCGAAUCUCCCUCUGUCUCUGCACCUGCGAGUCACGUGCCACAGACGAGAAAUGUGGGGGAUGGAUCGUGGGUCGGGCGAGGAAAGAGGCCAUUUGCCCGUGGCAAUCGGUGCUGCGAAAACAGUGCUGAGUCCGGAUCCGAUCCGGGUGUGUUUUUGUCUUUUAUCCUUCUUGAAUUUCUAAACCUGUCAAAAGUAGAUCGUUUAAUAAAUUGACAAGAUAUUAAAUGGAUUUACGACCUAACCCAUCUCGUUUUUGGGUAUAAAUUUUCCUAGAUUUGGGUUAAAUAAAAAAAUAUUUUAGCAUCAUAGGACAAUGUCAGAUAUGAGUCACUUAUAUACAUAUUGUAUAUAAAUUGAUUAAAACGGAUUAAAAUGAGUUUAUUUAGGCUGAACUAUUUUCGAUACAUACCAAAACCAAGCCGAAACACCCUUUUGAUGGGUAUAUGAAGAUCUAUCUCCAAAUGGCAAAAUAAGUUCACUACCAUUCAAUCUUUAACGCUCGUGGUCCCAGGUUUGAAUCUCCCAACAUUUGCACCUCUUUGUUUUCACCAAGACAUCGUUGCUCUCUUUUUACCAAAAAAAAAAAAAUCUUUAAAAAGAUUUAUCGCCAAGAAGCUCCAAUAUUUGGUUGCACUUGAAACAUGAUAAAAAGUGUUAUCCAUGAUCCAAUGUAAUUUUUAAGCACUUAUGGGUCCACAAUAAAACUUCAUGUGAAGUUUUGAUUUAGACAUGUGACUAACCUCUUAGAGAAAAUUAACAAAAUAAUCCUUAACGGAUGUCGAUUCGAUCAUAAACUUUAUAAUUUAGUCAAUUUAGUUCUAAAAUUAUUGACAAUUCGUUAAUGUAAUUCUUCUGACUAAUUUUAAUUGAAAAUUACUGACGUAAAUAUUGAUCAUUUGUUGUGACGUAACCAAUAUUGACAUGGACAACCUUUUACAAUUUUUAAAAGAAUCUUUUUAAAUUCUUUGCUUUUAUUCUUUUCUUUUACUUUCUUUUCAUGCUCGUGUCGCCUGGCGCGGGCAUAGUGUGUAACUUUUUCAAGUUGGAGAGCAGUCGUGCAACGGUGUGGAAGUUGCGGGGGUUUUUGAGAAAUUAUCCACAAAUUAAUGGCACAAAAAAGGGGAAUUAAAAAGGAAAAUCCGAAAAGAGCGCAAGAAAAACCCCAUUCCCGCGCUUUCUCAUACCCUAAUCCAUCCCAAUUUGGGGGAAGAAUUCAGAAAAAGCUCACUCCACUCAAUUUUUCCCCAAGUCGCUCCUCCUUCCUCCUCUUCCAACUUCCGUUUCCCUUCGCCCUUCAUCGUUGCUCUCUCUCUCUCUCUCUCUCUCACAUGCAUUUGGAUUUCGCAGAAAUCCUUAGCAACGAGACCGAUCACCUGUCGAGGAAGUCGCUGCCGGAGAAGGAAGAUAGGAAAUGGCGAAGACGAAGCCGUUUCAGGGGGGCGACCGUGUUUGUGCCGAGGAACUUGAGUGCCUCCCGAGCUGUUCGACGCGCUCAAGCUGAACGGAGGUGAGGCCUUCCUCCGCCGCGACCCUUCCAGGAGUGGGCCCCGCGAUUUUCACGCUGUUUCUUCUCCCCGAUCACGUGAGUACGUUGGGAUUGGGCGGCGCCAACGGCUUUUGGGCUCAUUUUGAAAAUUGGGUUUGAGGUUGUUUUACGUCUUGAGAAGUUCGAGGAUCUUCAGGCGAAAGGGUUGUGAGCUAGUCGGUAAAGAUCUUGUUCUCGUCCUAGUCUUAUCUUCUGGUUUUUCCUCGAGGCUGCUAAAUGCUAAACCAGGACUUGUAGUUGAGAAACGAAAGCGGAGGCAUUGGGGUCAAAAAGGGUAUAUUUGUUUGUCUUGCGAUGGAUGGUGUCGAAGUCCUUGCAUCUGGAUUUGAGGUGGAUAAGGAGGUAUGCCUGUUCCUAGAUAAGCCUGGCCUUGUAUGAUUUUUUAGCGUGUAUUCUUUGUUGUAACUCGUCACUCAAAUUCAGUGUGGCGCGUCACUUAUCCUUAUUCAUGUAUCCUUCUAUGUGACCCCUUGAAUCUUUUGCCUGCAGACAUGCUUUUGUCUGAACAAAUAUGGUGGCAGCUCGUCAUCUCUCUUAUUGUUUCACCAUUUACAUGAAUCUGCUGGCUGAGAUUGAGAAAUUGGUUAGUUCAACGGGGGGAGUUCUAAGACCAAAACUUCAGCAAUGUUAGCUUCAUAAUUGCAAAGAAUAUUUUGGCUGCAAAAUGCAAGGUUUUAAGUCUUGGAGUUAAUAAUUUGAAUUUAGUUUAAGAGUUGCGAAUUUGUUGUAUCUUGUUAAGGUUAAAUCACCUUAAAUGAGAUUCAUUAUGCUUUUUCACUCAGUAUGGGAAGUAUUGUGGGUAGUACUCUCAUUGAGUUGGCUGAACUAAAGAAGAGUUUCCUCCAUAUUUUUUUGAAUAUUCCGUGUGCAAAGUCUUUUAUGAAUUUCAUCUUGAAAGAUAAAUUGUAUUUAUCAAUUAAUGUUGUCAUCAUGCAGUGGGCUUUAAAUGUUCUGAAGAAACCUGUUGUCGCGAUUAAUUGGUUAUACCAAUGUUGUGUUGUGCACUUUGUUGUACCUCAGGAGUCUUACAGAGUUCUUCCAUUUUCUGGAUCGACAAUGUAUGUGUCACAAGAAUUCCUGCACAUACUGAUUAUUUGAUAUAGCUGCUGCUGUUGGUUGUCCUCCAGUUCUUCAAUUUUGAUGUCCUUCAUUAUCUUAGAUGCACAGAAGGAGAUUCAGAAGCAUAUCACACAAAAUGGUGGUAAAUAUUCUGCAGAAUUGACCAGGAAGUGCACUCAUUUAAUUGCAGAAAUAGCUUUUUCUUCUUCAAGAUUAAAGUCCAGUGAUUUGCUUGCAUAAUUUCCCUUUGAUAUCAGAUCGCCGUUUGAAAAUGCACAUAUCUUUAUCUUGUGUCUUCGCAUAUGAAAACACCUUUAAGAGUUUGAAAAGAAAAAGAAAAAUCUGUAUCAUGUCAAGGUUUAGUGACGAUUAUAGUUUGAAAUAGGAAAUAGCUAUACUUGAUUAAAUCCUGGUUUUUGGUAUUAUCCUUUUACUUGGGAAUUUGAUUACUCAGAUGAGAAACAGUGAAACUUCCCGGCAUGAGAAUAUCAUUGACUUUGACUUCUAAAUCAGUCCUGAAGAAUUGUGUUCUGUGGUUCAAGGAAACAAGGUGUUAAAGAACCUACAAUUUGAACUGCCAAUUGUUAAAAGAUCCUCAGCCAUUUCUCGCUUUUCCAGUGUGAGUUAGGACUGCCUGUUGGUUGCUCAAAGCACAUUGCUCAGCAAUGUUAUUACCACUGAAUCUUUCUAUUGGCCUCAUAUAUGAUGCUCUGUAGCACUGUGAGUCCCACUAUGAUGCCCUUGACUGGCUGUAAGCUCCAGAAGAUAAAUACAAGGUUGCUAAAAGAUGGGGUCACAUUCAUAUUUUGAAUCACAAAUGGUUUGAUCAAUUAACUUCUGGGAAAGGUGAUAUUUCAGUUACUAAAAUACCUUGUUGCUGUCAACUGUAGGAACAUUUAUGUUCUUUUUGAGCCAUCUUGUUGUCUGCCUCUAAUUUUGAGUUCUUUUGCCGACUAGCAUCUCUUAAUGAGGAGUCCUAUCCUGUUCAGGGUAGUUCCAUGUCUUCAGUGAAAACUGCAAGUAGUCAGCAAAAUCAGUAGAGGGUUAUUAGAAGUUCACAGUCUCUCCCCUCUUCAAUGGUUGGAGAUCAGGACUUCCAUUCCAUUUCAGCUACUGACCAUGCCAAUCCAGAUUUAGAAACUACUCUCUCACAGAAUGUGUCUUCAAUGUUUGUGGAUCCCCAUUUCCUUGCAAAAGAGGAUAAUAGUGAAGUGGCAGCUGUGCAAUCCAAUGGUGAAGUGAAUCAUGAUGGUUGGGUUGCUGAAGACUGAAAAUGAAGACAAUGACCUGUAUUUGUCAGAAUGUAAGUUAACAUCAUCAAAUGCUCGAUUCCCCAAGAGUGUUCCUAAAAGAAGUGAUUUGCAACUACCAUUCAAAGUUGGCUUGAAGUUACAAAACUUGGUGAUCUGAUUUUGAUGGUAGUGGAGCCUUAAAUAGUUCUGCUUGACACAUAUAAUGACUGACUAAAGAGUAUCUCAUCAUACACUGCUUUCUCUCGUUUCAUUAUGAUUCUCCGUGCUCUUCAUGUGAACAAUGGGAAGACUGAAAUGUUAGUAUUGCCUAAUAGGACGGUAGUUGCUGAUUCACAUGACAUUUGGCUGUCUUUCACAUAUGAUUAGUGGCUGAAGGCUGCGAUCCUUUAAAUGGCUUUGUCAGGUUGCAACUCUCCAAUUUGAGGAUAUCAUGCACUUCAUGACAUGGGUGGCCAAUUUUGCCGAAUGAAAUGAUUGCGUUUACAUGUUAAAAGAUGACAUAUGAGUAUAGUUAAUUUGUGUUAAAGACAAUCUUUCAGCUCUUCCCGCUAAUGGCAUGCAUAUAGUUUCCAGGAUGGUAUAUGCUUGUAAGUAAUAAACAGUUUCAUAUGGUUUUCUUCUGGAUCUCUUUCUUGCAUUUGCUGCGGACCUUGCAAUCUUUUGGCUGGUGAAGGUAAAGGAUCUUUUUUAUCUUCAUGUGUUGAUCCUUUGCUUUUGUUUAUUGUGCAGCAGAACCCAGGAUUUUUAACCUCGGUUUGAAGUCUUAUAUUUGGUGGUACGGGGGUCACUGAAUUUAUUCCUUUUUGUUCUUCUGUGUUUUGGGUCACUGAUGUCUUAUCUCAGUGAAGGGUCAAAGAGCCAAUAGUACUCCAUUUAUCCUAUUAUUGCUCCGGAAGACACUUGACAAAGCACCAACAUACCUUUGAUCUAUGUAGUUUCUAUCCAAUAAAAGUCGACGAAAUCAGAUUUUUCCAGAUCAGUCUAACGGUCCAUUAUAUGUUAAGUGGGAAAAUGACAAGUUUCCUCCUUAGCAGAACCCUAGUGAAAGAUCUCGCUAAUUUUUCACGUUACUCUUUUUAAUAGCACUCUCGUAAUAUUGUUUACUUGGAUCAAUAAAAAUAAUUGGACUAAUGUGGACUCAAUAAACUCACGAUAAGCGAAGCAAGCAUGAGAGAAGAAAACGCAAGGAAUGAAUAAAGAUUAAAAUAUUACAAACUUUAUUAUAAUAUUGAUGCAUAUUCUAAGCAACCGAUAGCUUUGACAAAUCAAUUUCUAUCCUCUUCAAACCCUUCGCAAGGCUAGUAAUUGAAUGCAUGGCAUAUUCUCGUGUUCACAUUCAUGCAUCAUGACCUAUGUUAGGCCACUCAAGAAGGUAGAGCAAUAACCAUUGCAAAGUAUUGAUAAAUAAGAGUUAUUUAGAGUUAAUAGAUAAAAUGAAAAGUUCAGUGUAUGUCGAAUUUACAACAACAUCAAGAUUUCUUACAAUAUCUAUUGAAAAUUAUGAAAACCUUACAUCGAGUCUCACUAGAAAACACAAGUUGCCGCACUAUCAUUCAUAAACUUCAAAUUAUGAUUAGUAUUGUCUGUUGUGCUACUUAUAAAUUAAUUCUAUACAGUAUUUCAUGAUAAAGACUGGUCUCUUAUCCCGCCGUAAACAUAACCCAAGUGAUUGUAAUUACAAUCUCCCGUAGAGAUAGGUAAACGCGAUUACCUCACAUUCAUAUACCUUCCAGGAAAUUCAGGGGAAGAACUAGAAGCACUCCAAUGUUGAACGUUGACUAGAGUCUUUUAUUUAUUUAUUUAGAUUUUUUAGUAGGUUUUGUCCGCGUUUGCCUUAUCCCUUUCUUUGGUUAAAAGAGGAGAUGGAAAUUGCAAUGAAGCAAGCAAGAUGUUGGAAGUAGAUUUUUCACCAUUUCAAUGCCUUUAGUGAUGAGAGGCUUUCAUUUCAUUGGGAAGAGAAAGCAAAAUGUUAUCCAUAUUCAUUUUGAUUUGCGUGACCAUGUAAUCCUAUUACAAAGAGAAGUAACAAAAUGUGAGGGUUAGUCAGAAAAUUUCCUCAUCAAAGACGCGCAAAUCCACAUUAGGAUUGUGUGCAUCCCAAGCAAAUCUGGUUCAUCUUUUAAGGAAAGAGAGGAAGAAAUUUCCAAUAUGAACACUUUGCAAAAGUUAUCAAGUAAAAGAGAUAAUUCCGUUUGACAAAAAAUAAGGGAGAUAAUUCCGUGGCUCUUAAGGAAUAGCAUCAUGUAAAAGAGUCAAUUUCCACUUUGAUUUGCUUGGCCACGGGAUCCAAUAACAGAAAGAACUAGCAAGUAAAGCCUAUAGGAGUCGUCGUGUCAAUUUGGAGAAAGGGAUUGUUUCGGUGGUCUUGGUCAAAAGGUUGGAAUCAAAAGAAGUACAAUUGUGCGUCUCCUCUAGGGCAAGAGAAGAAGUAGAGCUUUAUUUAAAGUGCCAAGAAAGUAGGAGUCAUCUUGUCAAUUUAGUGGAAGGGAUUGCGUCGGUGGUCUUGGUCAAAAAGGUUGGAAUCAAAAGAAGUAGAAUUGUGCGUUUCCCUUGGGACAAGGAAAGAAGUAGAGCUUUAUUUAAAGUGCCAAGGGCUUGUGCUUGAAGAGGAGAGACACCAAUUACCAUAAAUACCAAAGACCCUCGUUUUUGUUUUAAGGUGUAUUUAGUUUGAUAGCUCUAGGUUGAGGUAUGAAGGUGAUCCUAGAUUAUACUGCCUUUCGGGACUCGGACACAACUUGAUUUGCUUCAAGAAAAUUUCUUUUCAAACACUAAAAUCCAUCGUAGUAAUUUCAUCUCUAUGUCGCUCCUUGAGGUAAGCAUGAUCUUCAUUCUCCAGUCUGUUACAAUUGAUUGAACAAAAAUAUAUUUGAUUAUUACUCAUGGCAUAAUACCUAUCAUCCUUUACAUCAAACAAAAUAUUACUUGUGAAAUUCCCUCCUCUUUCAAAAUCAUCAUCACAUGUAUUGCUAAUUUUUCUUACUACAAUCUACUCAUUUAAAUUAAUCGGUUAUUUUCACCUAAAAAACUAAUCGGUUAUGAAUGGUUAGACCGUUGAAUCUGGUGGAAUUACAUGCUGGCCCUUAUCUUGAUGUGGUUUUCAAUAUAGUAAAUGAUUGAUAGAACUCCCUUAGAACAAAAAGCCUGCUCAUUAAAAAUUGUAAAAAUACCCUUCUACACUUGAUUUUGGUCCAUCGGUCCUAUACGUAUUACGUACCCAAUUGUCCAAAAUUGCUUAAAGCCAGAAACAUCCAAAAUACUUAGUUUUUGCAUAAAUAAUUCCUUUUUUUUUCAUGAAAACAGUUAAAUCUAGAUUUUUCUAGUUAAUGAUCUAGCUUGUACUCAAUAAUUGCACAAAACCUUUCACAGGCUACAGAUCAGAAUUGUCAACAACAAAAAAAUUUCUGAACAAAUCAGAUUAACUAGAGAAUUUUUGGAUGUCCAUAAGACCAUUUUCCAUUGUAUUGGCAAUUUUCGUAACUUUUGGAAAAAUGACAGAAAAAUCAAAUGUUUUCCGCAAAUUAUGAAAAAUUCACAAUUGUAAUAUUAUUUUUUUUUUGUGCUGGUUACAAUGGAAAACUUGAAAGUGAGCAAAGCCGCUAGUUUCAAUGCACUUGAACGUAUUUAACAUGUGGUCAAUUUUUGGGCGGACUUUUUUAUCUACAUAUUGAAUUAGAGAAACUUGUUGUGGUUUUCAUGUGAUUUUAUUGCUUACAUUAAAGACAUAACUUUUACUUAUAUAUAGCAUAGAAAAUUACUAAAUGGAUUUGACAACAUGAUUUAUGAAUAUUUAGGGUGGGAGAAGGAUGUAGCAUUUACAGGUGUCAGAAUGCCUUUGAUAAUAAUAUAAUGGAAAAUUCACAAGCUGGUUAAAGUCACAUUUAUUUGUUUAACAAAAUGGUUUUUAGGUGGAUAUGAACACAAGUGGUCAUUCCGUACUCUCUGGUCAAAAUUGUGUGGCUUGACUUGGCUUGCCAUCUGAAAACAAUUUAAUUGCUACCAGUCAAUCAAUAACAAUUCGAGACUAUCGUCAACUACUGAUUGGUCCUCUCUCUCUUCUUUCUCUCUCUCUCUCUCUCUCAGUUCUCACUUGAUCUUUCGCAUUCGGCCUUUCUCUUGUAGACGAAUUCGAGACUAUGGUCUACUAAUUAGUCCUCACUUGCUUUCUCACUUCUUUUACUUUCGAAAGUUCUUGCCCAGGCUUGUUUAGGGUCUUCUCUCUCCGAUCUGGUGCCUCUCUUCGCAUCUCAGCUUGCGGGAGGUAAUCGCUUUUCCAUGUCUUAUUAGUGCAGCGUUUCUAUCGAUUCAUUGCUUUGUUUUUGGAAUAAUAGGCUGAACUAGUGUGUUUUGGGCCCUUUUCGUCUAUUGCAGACGUGGGGAGGACGCUAAAUAGCAAAGGAGGGUCUUAAUUCUCUCUUUUGGAGUCGAUGUUACCUAUUAACGAGGUACGUCCCCGGCUCAGAUUUGACUUCGAUUGAAAAAAGGAGGCCUUUGUUUUUUACUUUAGAUGUGGCUAAUCCUAUGAUGGCCUUAUUGCCUGAUUGUUAGUUGCAUCGUAAUUCAGUAUUAAUCUUUUGUUGAACUAGAACGAGUAGGUCUGCAAGUGCGUCAAACUCUAAUGCAUGCAAAAUUUCCAUCUUCUGCUUGAAUCUAGAGAUAAUUUUUUGGGAAAAGACCACCAAAUACCCCAAACUUUAUCUAAAGUGACAAAUUUACCAAAAAAAAAAUUUUGUGACGUGAAAAAUUCAAAAUUUUUCAAACUGUGACACAUUUACCCCCAUCAAGAGCAUUUUUGUCUUGUUUUUUUUUUUCUAUUUUUCCUUUUUCCUUUUUUUUUCUUCUUUCCUCCGCCGAAGCCGGCAUCCGGUGAAGGCUGCCCUCGAUGGUCGCCCUCGCUUGGGCUGGCUAGGGCGGCCCUUGCCAAUGUCACAAAAAAAAGUUCAAGAUUUUUAGUGUCACAAAAAAAAGUUUGGCGUAAGUGUGUUACGGUUAGCAAAGCUCAGGAUUUUUCACGUCACAAAAAAAGUUUGGAGUAAAUCUGUCACUUUGGACAAAGUUCGGGGUUUUUCGUGAUUUUUUCCCUAAUUUUUUUUAUGCGUUAUGAGGUUUCUCUGUGUUUAAAGGUCCUCGAUCAGUUUAUAGAAAAAUAAAUCAUAAAAAUAAAAGUAGGCUGGUUCAGGAUCAAAUAGUUUGGCUCUUGGAUACAAAAAUGGAGAACCGAUUAUUAUUUAAUAAAACCCUAUUUCUUAGUUUGGAACCUAGUCAUUCUCAAGCCAAUCAUCCUAAGAGCAAGUCUUCACUUAGGGAGAUUUCAUUCAACAAUUUUACCUCCCAAGAGAACAUUUCAAACGAGUAAUAUUUUGUUUUCCUCAAAUUGUUGGACCAUUAAUCCUAGAAAGUAUAUUCCCUUGCACCUCUAACUCAUUUUCUCCCUUCUUUAGGAAGAAAAAGAAAGGGAAAGAAAAAAUUCAUUUUCUCCCUUCAAAGCUUUAAAAGUGACUGAGUCUUUGCUGAAAAAAAGAAAAGUAAAUAAGGAAUGAAAAAAAGUUUUUAAGCAUUUUAACCAUAUUGCUACUUUUUACCUGCUCUCAACUCAUGAUUGUUUCAAUCAUCAGAAUAUAAGACAUACCAACAUCCAUAGUAUGAUACUUCUUAAGAUCUUUUACAUGAUACUCAAUAGUAAGAAAAAAAAAACCUAAUUCGAGCGAAUGACACAUGAAAACAAUCAAAUAAAUCGAGCCAUAUGCACGUAUUAGGAGAUUCACCUAGCUUUGUAUCACUCAUUUCUUACACCUCUUUUGUUACAAACAAUAAAUUCAUUCUUUAAAAUGUUAUUAAUCAAUUUAACCCGACUUAUAACAAAUUUAGUCAAUAAUCCUAUUCUGCUUCCAUUUCAGUUCGCUCCUUGGCAGUGCUUCUUGCGUCUCUAUGCUUGUAUUAAAUAAUCUCAAUAAGAAGGAAAAAAAGUACGCAAAAAGAGAGCACUGAGGAAAAAUCUGUUCCUCCGUUUGGUGCCAUCCAACAAAUUAUAGCUUUAUUUUACAGACAAGAUAUCAAUCAACCUUUUAAAUUUUAAAAUUUGAAAUGAAAGACUUGGUAAUAACAUAAAGGCUCGAUAAUAACAUACUAGUUCAAAAUAAAUCAUUUUACAUUAAAUUGGAGCAUAUGGUGCUGGCAUGGAAUAGAUAAAAGAUAAAUAACCAUGAGCAUUUUUUUAUGUGUACCUCACAUUUCCAACUUCAUUAAGAAUAUGAAUUUUUCUUAAAAAAAUUAAAGUAUAAAAUCACAUUCACAAUUACUAGCUUGGUCUUUUCUCGACGGCUUUCACACAUUUCUAAUUCCAUUUCAACUCCAAUAUUUAUCUUUUAAAUGAUUUACCAGAUUCCAUUUUCAAUAACCAUGAAAACCAAACCUAUGCUUAUAUUUUUGAUUGAAUGCAAUAUACUCGUACAUAGAUUCUAGUAGUCCAAUUGAUAAAUUAACCUACACGUUACUCGUGAGUGGAUCAAGCCAACAAGUUCCACUUGAAUAGGAUGCGGUCCGAAAGAAGAUAAGGCGAGGGCUAAAAGGAUUUGCAACUGCUCCCAGUCAAUUAAUUACCAAUUAAUUAUAGAUUUCUGGUUGAUUUUUUCUUGUGUGGUAACAUAUUCAUGUUCAUACUUGUCUGUAGAGAGAAGUUCAUUGAUCCUUUUAUGUAGCAGAAACGCAUCUUUCGUUCCAACUUUUACCCUAAGAUUGUCAUGCAUCUUUCACUCCCUUUUUACUUUUAAUUUGUGUUCAUGAAGUUUUCUAUGUGUCAUGAAUUCAUAAUUCAAAAGCCUUUUGGACGUUACCUCUAAAUAUCACUGCUUCCUUCUUAAAGUAAGCCCAGACACUUCAUUCUCUUCUUUUCUAUGCUUUCUCCAAUAUUUUCUUUUAAUUUUCUAAUAUUUCACAUCCUUCUUUUUUCAUUGGUCUAUUGAUUUCUCAAGAGCUGAAUGAUAUGCCAACAAAAUUAUAAUAAAAGAAAUGACAGUGUACAAGUAUUUCAUAAAUCAUUAGUAACUUGAUACUAACCCCUCAUGGUCAUUUGGUGUCAUUUAACAAAUUAUAGCUCUAUUCUGUAGACAAUAUAUCAAUCAAUAAUUUAUAUAAAAUUAAAUUGGUGUUAAUCUGGUGCUCAUCUCUACCUCACAUUUCCAACAUUAAGAGUAUGGCAAUUUUAAAUAAGAUUACAAAAUGAAAUCACCGAAUUUGAACCAAAACACAACAGCAGUGAAGCAACCGACCCGAAACAAAUAGAGAAGCAACAUUCACACAAAAAGAGAAAAGAACAUAGGUGGCAGAGAGGGAGAUAGGGAGCGAGAAGAGGAGGAGGAGGAGGAGGAAAAAGGAGAAGGGGGGACGAAUUGAUUGAAGUUAAGCAAGGGGGAGAGCACCUUGUUCCGAGCCAUUGGAAGACAGAGAAACGUAUCAACUUGUGAGGGAAACUCGAGUUUUCUUGGAGAACAAAGGCCGAGAGAGUUGUUCACUUUUAGCAAUUCUUUUUUUUUUUUGGGGGGGGGGGGGGGGGGGGGGAUCUCCGGGGGAAAUCAAGUACAACUUUCGUCGAGCGGUCCUUAAAGACUGCAAAAGUUCAGAGAGUUUGGACAUUCUUGUUUUUAUUUUGGCCAAUGCUCUGGUGAGCGGUCAUAUUUUUAAAGAUAUAGUUGGCAAUUUUUGUCUUAUCAUGUUGAGUUAGGAUAUAACAUUAAUAUGGCCAAAGCCAAGCAAGACAUGUUUAGUAAACGUGUAAUCGUUACAAUACAAAAUUGCUUCCUGUGAUAUUCUAGUUACAAGUAAGACGCGGCCUUUUGUAUUAAUAUCUUAGGUGUGAACUGAAAGAGUCCGCCUUUAAAUAUCAUAGACAUGCAUGAAGUUAUGUAUUUCUUCAAAUGUGUUUUAAGGAAGUCGAUUAAUUACACUUCAAUCUAUUUAAUUUCAAAUAUGUAUUUCUAAAGAAGUAAAUGAUGUGGGAUUUUUGUUGGCUCUUCUGGGCCACCUAAUCUUCCGCAGUGAAACGACGUCAACUAACUCAACGGAGGGCUGUGUUGUCGUUACCUUUCUCAAGAACACGAACCUCCUUCAGCAUUGCCUUGGGGCGAAAUUAACGUACAAAUUAUUUGGAGUGGACCAAGCCAGCAAGCAUUUGCAAAAAAGAAUCCUAAAAGCGUCUUUCGCUGUGCAUCGAUCCUUUUAAGCAGUAGAAAAAGCGUAUUUCGUUUCAACUUUUCCCUCAGAUUGCCAUGGACAGAGGGCAAAGUCAGGGAAAGAGAGAGAGAGCAGAGGAAGAGAGCAUUGAGGGAGCAUCCACUUUUUCGUUCAUCUCUCCGGUACCCAUAGAUGUAUGUAAUGGUCAAUACGACGUGUUCUUGAGCUUUAGAGGCUCAGAUACCCGCAAGGCAUUUGCCGAUCACCUCUAUCACAGUCUAAUCAAGGCAGGGACGAUACCGAUUUGCGUGUUCAGGGAUGACAAUAGCAUCCUAAUUGGUGAGGAAUUUGGUUCACAGAUUCUUGAUGCUAUCACACGGUCUAAAAUUUUGAUUCUAAUCAUCUCGGAAAAUUAUGCUUCGAGCAAAUGGUGCCUCCGUGAGCUCACUCAUAUCAUGGAUUGCAAGAAGAGAACAUCACACAUGGCCUUGCCCAUCUUUUACAAAGUGGACCCAUCGGAUGUGCGGUAUCUAAAAGGAAGUUUUGGGGAGGCCUUCCAUUCGCGUAAGAAGCAUUUUGAUGAGAAGGACAUUCAGGAAGGGCUGCGAUCACUUAGAGAAGUGAGUGACUUACAUGGAUGGGAAUCCGAGAAAUUUGCUAACGGGUACUUCGCAAAACCUUUUUCUUUUUUUGAUAAGUAAGUUUUUUCUUCACGUUUAACUGAUGAAAUGCAGAAGUAUUACUUUCACUGCAAGCUCAAAAAAGAUAUCCAAAAUGUCCCAUUGAUGCCUCGAAGACUAACCAACACUAGUACUUCCUAAGAUGUCCUGAAAACUAAACCAACGAUUAAACCAAAGAUCCCGAAGCGCCCAAGAACUUUACAUUUGUCUCCGUUCCAGAGCCAAAAAAAAAGAGAAAAAAACAACCCCUCCAGCCAAUAGUGUCAAUCACUAAAUAACAUGCCUAGAAAGGAAUCAAGUACUCGAUCUUCCAAAACUUGAUCACUACCAGAUAAAAUGGACCUCCUCAUGCCAACGGGUUGGCUCAGCUGAUAAGAAUUGGACAUUUCACAUUUACCAUGUUUAGAUCUGAUUUCCAAUGCCAAUAACCGCCAUUGGUAGGUGAUCUUGGGGUAACCUCCCGUCCUUCUAAAAAAAUUUUAACCCAAAAAAGGGGAAAAAAAUGUUGACCUCCUAUCUUUCUAAUGGAGGCAACCUUAAUCCUUAUGAUGAAUAUUAUAGUUUGAUAGAAAAAAGCCACCAAAAACUCUAAAUGUUGCUCAAAGUGAUAAAUUUAUCGCAAACUUUUUUUUUUGUGACAUGAAAUACCCCAAACUUUGCUAACCGUGACACAUUUACCCCACCAACAGCAUUUUCGUCUUUUUUUUUUCCUUUCUCUUCUCUAUUUAUUUCCAUUUUUUCUUCUUCUAUCUUCCCUCCGCUGGCCAUGGCGGAGGGAAGCUGGACUCAGGCGGAGGCGGCCCUUGCUAGAUUCAGCGAGGGUGGCCUUUGCUUGGGAGAACUCUAGCGAGGACAACCCUUGCCUGACAUCGGGCGAGGGGCCGACGUUGGGCCGCUCUCCCCUGCGUUAGGCGAGGGUUGCCUUUGCCAAAUCUGGCACCCCUCGGUUGACGCUACCGAGGGCCGCCCUAGCCACGACCCUCGCCGGAAUUGAGCGAGGGGUGCCCUCGCUAGAUCUGGCUAGGGAGGCCCUUGCUUGACCUAGCUAAGAGCCGCCCUCGCUCGACACUGGCGAGGGUGGCCCUAGCUAGCCUAGGCAAGGGCGACAAGAAGAAGAAAAAAAGAAAAAGAAAAAGAAAAAAAAAUUUAAAAAGUAAAAGAUGAAAAUGUCCAUAUAGUUUAAGGUAAAUGUGUUACACAAAUACAAGUUCAGGGUUUUUUGUGUCACGAAAAAAAAUUUGGGAUAAAUUUGUUAUUUUGGGCAAAGUUUGAGGUUUUUUGUGGCUUUUUCCUUAGUUUGAAAGACUCUUCAUGAGCCAGGUGCACCACCUCAUUUUAUUUCAACAAGAUCCAUCUAUUGGCAUAAAAGGAUUGGGAAAAAAAAUGAAAUGACUGCUACACCAUCUUCCCCAUUGUUAAUUGUAAAACCAAGAUAGCUUGCAAGUUAAUUGGCCCCAUGCAUCCUUCAUUAUAUGCCAGUCUUUUGACGAGAUUAAGUAUAAUCAUGAAGUUACCAUUUGAGUUUUGUUGUUUGACAGACACGAAGGAGAAUUAGUGGAAAAAGUGGUUGAAAAUAUUAUGAGCAAGUUACGACAAGACUUUCAGCUUGAUGUUACUAAGCACUUGGUUGGAAUUGGGGAUCAUGUGAACAAAAUCAGGAAAUGGGUAGACACUCCUACCAGUGUUGCUCGAAUGAUUGGAAUCUAUGGCAUGGAUGGAAUUGGAAAAACAACUCUUGCCAAGGUAAUCUACAACCAAUUGUCAGAUGACUUUGUGCAUCGCAGCUUCCUUGCUGAUAUUCGAGAAACAGCUCACCGCAACAAUAUGCCUUAUCUACAAAAACAGCUAAUUAAGGACAUACUGCAAAUUGAACAUCAGGUUGGGAAUGUUGAUUAUGGAAUUAGUUUGAUCAAAUCCAGAUUCAAAAGAAAAAAGGUUCUCAUUCUUUUGGAUGAUGUAGAUGACAAGAAUCAACUAGAUGCGUUGGCUAGGGAACGUGAUUGGUUUAUGCUAGAAAGUAUGAUCAUUGUCACAACUAGAAAUGAAGCUAUUCUUGAUCAAUCUGAGUUCGAGGUGGACUACAAGUAUGAAUUGAAUGAAUUGGAUGGGAAGCGUGCUUUGCUUCUAUUUAACAGACACGCAUUUCGUAUGGACCAUUCUCCAGGGGAAUUUGAGGGUAUAUCUCGUGAUAUCAUAUCCAACAUGGGUGGGCUUCCCUUGGCACUUCAAGUCGUAGGUUCAUACUUGUAUAAAAAAACAAAUCGAAAUAUAUGGGAAGAUGUGCGGGAGCAAUUAAAAAAUGAACCACAUAGAGAUGUCCAAAAGACAUUGCAUAUAAGUUAUGAUGCAUUGCAAAAUGAACAUAAGCAGAUUUUUCUCGAUAUUGCUUGUUUCCUUGUUGGCGAAGUUAGCAGGUUCGCCAUGUACAUGUGGGAGGACUGUGGGCUUUAUCCAAGUCAAGGAAUUGAAGAGUUGAAGUUGAGGUGCUUAAUUAAAAUUGGUGAUCAUGGUGAGUUUGAGAUGCAUGAUCAAUUGAGAGAUCUUGGAAGGAGCAUUUUUUGCCAAGGACAACUGCUUGAGAAACGUAGCGGACCUUGGGACCACGACUACAAGGGAGUCCCAAAAGUACUAAGAUUCGAUGGAAUGGUAAAAUGUGGCACUCCUUUCUUUUUCUCUCCCUCUUAUUUUAAUACAUUUAAUCUAAUCUAUUCUAAUAUUUCAUCUAGGAUUGACAUAUGCUCUUACUUUCUAAGAGUAAACAUCCAUUUAUGUCCAUCUUAGAUUCAAUGUGUCAGCUAAAUGGAUUAUAAGUAUCUAAAGGAUUAAAAAGGUAUAGCAUUUGAUUCGAUUUCAUUGAUAUAAAUUACAUUUGUAAAGAUUUGAUUGACAAUCAAUUAAAGAUCCUUAACUAUAAUUUACUCUAUAAAUCUCAUUUACUAGAAGCAUGUAAUUGUCAUAUCUAGUUGAAAAUAUUAAUAAUCUAAAGGACUACAAUAAUGAAUGAAGAUGAAGUAUAAACAUCACACAGAUAAAUGAAUAUUUCUUGAUUAAAAAGAAAAGAAAAGAUAGCAUGUGCCAAUUAUAAUAACUGAUAAUUAAUUUGAAACGAUAAGAUUGGAAAAAGUUCACACUUAUCACAUGUUCUUGUUUACUGGUACGGCUAGAUGGAAUGGCGGUAGUCCUAUGAUUUAGGAAUCCAAUGUUUGAUUUUUUUUUCUCCAAUUUGAUUUUGAAGAUACCCGUCCCUCUACUCUACUAGUUAUAUCUAUCUCUUUUAAUUAUUAUUUCCUUUUAAUAGAUAAGAUAGCAAAAUUCCCCUUAAAAGUAUUUUUAGGAAAAUCUUACUGUUUAAGGUUUUAUCACGUUGACCUUGCUCAUUUCAUGGAUUAGGUUAGAUGUAUGAUAAAGAAUAGAUUUUCUUAUAACAAACAUUUGUAUCCGCUAUAAGUUACUUAUAACACAUACAACCAUUUGUCAUAAAAAAAAUCCAUGAAAACUUGACUAAUAAGAGGAAAUGCCAUACUUAUUAUUAUAUCCAUACCUUUGAGUAUAAUGAUGCUCAGCAUGAAGCCAACCUUUUAGUUAAAUUAUCAAUGUUCAUGUCAUUUUAUUAUUAUAUAUUGUCCAUUUGGGCCGCCUCAUGAUAUGAUUUAUACACUAUUGUCCAAUAUCACCUCGUCACUUUUUAAACGUACUUAACACAAAAAAAAACAUUUAAGUUUUAAAAGAAAUGAUUAAACACUUCACAGCAAUAGUUAAUGAUGUUAAAGAUAUGUAGAUAUCUUCUAGAGAUAUUUAGGAUAUUUUCUCUAACUUUCUAUAUUUAUUUUGAUUAUGCAUAUCUAAUUUGAUUUUCUUUGAUUUCCUUAGACAAUCCUGUAAUAAAGUUUAUAGAUAGGCUCUCCAUAUAAUCUUUUCUAUAUAUGGAAAUAUAUUGAAAAUUUCCCAUUUUCUCUUCGGCAUUAUUACAUUUAAAUAAUGAAAUGAAAACCGGGUGUUUCCAUAGCUACUUACAGGUGGCCCACCGGCACUCUUCAACAAAUUCUAUUGAAAAUUAUACAAAAGUCAUGAAAAUUUACAAGUAAACAUUUGUAUGUUGUAAAAUGGUUUCAUAUAUUUCGUAUUAAAUAAAAGCCAAAGUGCAUCCGCUAAAAAAAUUGAAAGAAAAAAGGAAAAGAUAAAACAUUGAGAUGCCUUUACCUUAGUUGUUUUAGAGCAAUAACCAUUUUUAUUUUAUUUUUCACAUCAUUUGUACAUGGGAAGGAUAGAAAGGUUAUAGAUCGUGCAAAAUCCAAGAUCUAAGAAAAGAAAAGAAAAACUAAAAAGUUAAACUCGCAGGGACGCCCCGCCUGGAUCCCCCCCAGGUCCCCCUCCUGGUUCCGCAAAAUUUUGUGGAGACACCUCUCUUGUUUCUGUUUCCGUGACAAUUUGUGGGCAGCUGCAAGCGGAACCUCCAACGACAAACUCCUUUCUGAAGUGAGAUGGCUUAAGUGGAGGGUCGUGCAAAGCGACUUGUCUCUUUCUAUGCAUCUAUCGAAUUUAUCAGUACUAGAUUUAUCUUGGAGCGAGAUUAGAGAGUAUUGGCAAGGAUGGAGGUCAUUCAUGGUAAGAUUGAGAAAAGAACGAAUUUAGGGUUUUGUUUUUGUUUAGUCCAUCAACCCAUUCUUUGACAACUUAUUCUCCUUUUCUAUUAGGCGUCAAAGCAGCUUAAAGUUCUCAUGCUUAUAUAUUGCCAUAAUUUAAGACGUACUCCUGAUCUCUCGGCUUUCACACAGUUGAAGAUUCUCAUCUUGUCCAAUUGUGAUGGACUAGAGCAUCUUCACCCUUCUAUUGGCAAACUCAUGAACCUCGUUUCCUUGAACUUGCAUUUAUGUAAAAGACUCAAGGAACUACCAAAGGAGGUGGGCGAAUUAAAAGAUUUAGAAGAACUUUUUUUAGGAUCCUCUGGUAUUACAGAGAUUCCUAUGUCUAUUGGUUCUCUGAGGAAGCUAAAGACAUUGAGCGCCCCAAGGUGUUACUCAUUGACAGAAAUCCCCAGCUCAAUUGGGGAUUUACAGAAUUUGCUGUAAGACAAUAUAAUUCAUAUGCGGAAGCCAGGAUCAAUCGAAGACAAACCUCCAGCCAUUGUUCUUGUUCGCGUUCGUCAGAAAACCUAAAAUCAAACAAAAUUGGUGACACUCUACUACCCAAUUCACUCUCGUACUGAUGGUGUAUUCUGAAUGAGAGAGUUUGAGUUAGACCUUGUCAUCACACGUCAGAAAUGAACGUACGUUCCUAUUUAUACAUCGUCUCCCAUCAAGACGGGCGGUUGUUACGAAAGGGUACGAAGCGUGGAUCGAACAGUCGCAAUUUUAAGAGAAAAUUUGGGUCAAAAAUGUGGGAUCACAAAAAAUAAAUAACAUUCUCCCACUUGAUCCCAUCAUUUUCAUCAUACGGAUUAUCCAACUAAUUCCACGAAAACUUUAUGCUUAAAGAAAAGAAACAAAACACAUGGAUCAUGGCGACAUGUCCUCUAAGAGUGAGUAAUACCUUCAAUGUAUCACAAUGCAUCUUAUUUCUUUAAUGUCAGCCAAUAUGUGACAACAUAUCUUAAUGAAUAAACCCCAUGUUUAUUCCAAAACCAAGGAUAAAUGUUAUUCUCAUAAACAACAAAAUGUGUACACAAAAAUUGAGAAUCAACAUUACAACUGAAUAAGAGUUUCAUACAACAAAAAUCGUUCAUAUGACGACAAAUUACAUGAUGGGACCUAUUCCCAUACUAGUUACAUGAUCCUUAUACUUCAUUGGUGGCAUGCCUUUAGUUAGAGGAUCAGCUAUCAUCAAUUCAGUACUAACGUGUUCAAUGACCACUUUAUUCUCCUUAACACGUUCCCUUAUGGCUAAAUACUUAAUGUCGAUAUGUUUACUUCGACUGCCACUUUUGGCAUUUUUAGCCAUAAAAACCGCAGCUGAAUUGUCACAAUAUAUUCUUAAUGGCCUAGAAAUAGAAUCAACAAUUCUAAGCCCAGCAGUGAAACUCUUCAACCAUACACCAUGCGAGGUAGCCUCAAAACAAGAAACGAACUCAGCCUCCAUAGUGGAAGUAGCAGUCAAAGUCUGCUUGGCACUUCUCCAUGACACGGCUCCGCCAGCUAACAUGAAAAUGUAUCCAGAUAUUGAUUUUCGUGAAUCAACACAACCCGCGAAGUCUGAAUCUGAAUAACCAACCACUUCCAGGUUGUUAGACCGUCUAUACAUAAGCAUAUAGUCUUUGGUACCUUGAAGGUAUCUCAUCACUUUCUUUGCAGCUCUCCAGUGGUCUAAACCUGGAUUACUCUGAUAUCUUCCCAACAUUCCCACAGCAAAAGCGAUGUCAGGUCGAGUGCAAACCUGAGCAUACAUCAAGCUUCCAACAGCAGAAGCAUAUGGAAUGUUGUACAUUUGUUCCCUUUCUAGAUCAUUCUUCGGGCAUUGGUUCAAAUUGAACCCGUCACCCUUCACAAUAGGUGCUAUACUCGGUGAACAAUCUUUCAUCCGAAAUCUCUCUAGGACCUUAUUGAUAUAGGUUUCUUGUGAUAGUCCUAAAAUGCCUCGAGGUCUAUCUCUAUGGAUCUUAAUGCCAAUGACAUAAGAUGCCUCACCCAUAUCCUUCAUGUCAAAACACUUAGAGAGAAAUUGUUUCACCUCAUGUAGCAACCCCUUAUCAUUGGUUGCAAGUAGUAUAUCAUCCACAUACAGUACAAGGAAACAAAUUUUGCUCCCACUGACCUUCUGGUAUAUACAUUGAUCCAUGACAUUCUCUACAAAACCGAAUGAAGAGAUGACUUCAUGGAACCUUAAGUACAAUUGGCGGGAUGCUUGUUUCAAGCCAUAUAUAGAUUUCUUAAGCUUGCACACCAAAUGCUCACCUUUACUAAAGGAAAAUCCUUCAGGUUGUUUCAUGUAAACUUCCUCCUCUAGUUCUCCAUUGAGGAACGCCGUUUUCACAUCCAUCUGAUGUAAUUCCAUAUCAAAAUGGGCAACCAAUGCCAAAACAAUACGAAGAGAAUCUUUCUUAGAUACAGGAGAAAAAGUCUCCGUGUAAUCGAUUCCUUCCUUUUGAGUGAAUCCUUUGGCAACAAGUCUAGCUUUAUAUCUUUCAAUGUUACCUAAUGAAUCUUUCUUAGUUUUGAAGACCCAUUUACAACCAAUGGCCUUCGUACCAUCAGGUAACUCAACCAAAUCCCAGACUUUGUUAGAUGCCAUAGAACUCAUCUCUUCCUUCAUGGCAUUGUACCACAAAUUGGAUUUAUCACUAUCCAUGGCUUGUGAAAACGUUUCAGGAUCAUUCUCAGCUCUAAUAUUGUAGUCAGACUCUUGUAAAUACACGAUAUAAUCACUAGGAAUAGCCGAUUUCUUUAUUCUAGAAGAUCUUCUCAAUGUUGCAUCAACAUUCUCUUGAGGAGCGUGUUGCUCAACUGGUUGUUCAACAGUUUCUGGUAAUUGCUUAACAACUGGAUCUACUAGAUCAAUAUCAGCAGGUUAUGAAACUUCAAUGAUUGGUUGUUCAAUUGCCGGUUGAACUGAAGAGGCAUUAUGAGCAACAACCAAUCUUAAACUUGAGGUGGAAGGUUGAGUAUCUGUAUGAUCUUUCUUAGGAUCAAGGUCCUUCGAUCGAUCGCUCCCACUGAUCAAGUCAUUUUCAAGAAAUUUAGCGUUUCUUGAUUCCACAAUCCUAGUGGUGUGAGAUGGACAAUAAAACUUGUAUCCCUUAGACCUUUCGGCAUAUCCAAUGAAAUACUCACUUAUGGUCCUUGGGUCCAACUUCUUUUCUUGUGGAUUAUAAACUCUCACUUCAGACGAGCAUCCCCAAACGCGAACAUGAUGCAAACUCGGUUUCCAACCCUUAAAUAACUCAAAAGGUGUCUUUGGGACAGCCUUGGUCGGAACUCGAUUUAAUAUGUACACUGCCGUCUUAAGUGCUUCAGUCCAUAAGAAUUUAGGAAGUUUGGAGCUGCUAAGCAUACUACGCACCAUGUCUAAUAAGGUCCGAUUUCUUCUUUCCGCUACGCCAUUUUGGUCCGGAGAACCAGGCAUAGUAUAUUGGGCAACUAUCCCAUGCUCUUGAAGAAAUCUUGCAAAUGGACCAGGUGCUUGUCCAUCUUCAGUGUAUCUACCAUAGAAUUCUCCACCUCUAUCUGAUCUCACGAUCUUAAUUUGCUUAUUGCAUUAUUUCUCUACUUCCGCCUUAAAUACUUUAAAGGCAUCUAAUGCUUCAUACUUAUUAUGAAUCAAAUAGAGAUACAUAUAACGUGAAUAAUCAUCUAUAAAGAAGAUGAAGUAUUUUUGACCACAUGAAUCCAUAUCCGGAUUACAAAUAUCCGUGUGUAUGAUUUCUAAUAUUUCUGUACUCCUCUUGGCACAUUUCUUUGUUUUGUUAGUCUGCUUUCCCUUUAUGCAGUCCACACAAGUAUCACAAUCAGUAAAAUCUAAAGUACCGAGUACUCCAUCAUUUACUAAUCGCUUAAAUUUUUCUAUGGAGAUAUGUCCCAAUCUCCGGUGCCAUAACAUAGAGGAAUGUUCUUUUACAACACAUCGUUUCAUACCAGCUUUAUCAUGAACAUGCAUCGCAUCAUAAUAGGCAUUGUCUUGUAAAUUAAUUCGAAAAAGACCAUCAGACAAAGUACCACUCCCGACAAUUUCAGAUUUAAAUGAUAAACAAAAGUUUGAAUCUGAAAAGUUAAAAGAGUAUCCCAAAGGUACAAGUCUUGAAACUGAAAUUAAGUUUCUAGAAAAACUAGGAACAUAAAAGGUCUUUUCCAAAACUAAAACAAAACCACUAUUGAGAACUAGUCUAUAUGUCCCAAUAGCUUCCACAUGCGAACGCAUCUUGUUUCCUGAAUAGAUGCUUUGUUCACUUCCUACUAGCUUCCGGUGGUUUUGAAAACCCUGCAAGGAAUUCGAAAUAUGGAUUGUAGAUCCAGAAUCAAUCCACCAAGUGUUGUGACUUACAUCAGUCAUAUUAGAUUCAUAACAAACACAAGAGAUUGGAUUACCUUUCUUCUCGAGCCAGGCCUUAAAUUUGACACAAUCCUUCCUUAUAUACCCCUUCUGUUUACAAAAGAAGCAUUUGGAUUCUUUCUUAAUGUCAGCUUGGGGAGGUAUUUUACCUUUUCCCUUAUGCUUGUCAUAGCCCUUAUUCUUUCCUUGUAUUGCCAAAUGAGCACUUUCUCCCAAUUCCAUAACCAAUCUUUCUUGCUCUUGAACACACAUGGUCAUGAGUUCAUUAAUAGACCAUUUAUUCUUAUGUGUGUUAUAAGAGAUCUUGAAAGGUGCAUACUGUUGUGGGAGAGUGUUCAGAAUAUAAUACACAAGGAAAGAUUCAGAUAUCUCAACCUCAAGGUUCUUAAGCUGAGCCGCAAUGUUCCUCAUUUGCAUGAUGUGCUCACGCACACCUCUAACACUAGUGAGCUUCAAUGAUGAAAACUUCAUAAUCACGGUCAUGGCAUGCGCCUUCUCAGAACUUUCAAAUUGCGCAUCUAUGGCCUCCAAUAAAGCCUUAGCAUUGUUAUGCUGAGCAACUGAACCACGAAUACUAGGAGAUAUCUUAGCUCUUAUAAACAUGGCACAAACGCGGUUGGACUGCUCCCAUUGGUUAUAAAGAGCUAUCUCAGCUGGAGUGCUCGAAUCAGUAGGAGCAAGUGGUUCGUCUUUCCUUAUAGCAUAGUCAAUGUCCAUCCAUCCCAAUUGAAGAAGAACUGACUCCUUCCAAACUUUAUAGUUCUCACCAUUCAGUAUGGGAACAUCAAACUUAAAUUCAGAGAAAUUAACAGGUUGCGAAACUGCAUAUCAAAUAAUCAUGCUUAUAUCACAAAAUUUGAGGCAAAUAUGUACAAAUAAAUCACGUUUUACCAAUGUAAACAUGUCACAAUAUGAAUCACAUAACAUAAAAACUACCUGUGGGCAAAGUUUUUAAUUUAAAUAGAUUCAUAAUUACUUCAUGAAGAAACUACCAUAUUAUAUGCAUUUUCUUAAUCCCUGUGAGUAAAUUAAGAAAAAUAAUAUGAUAUUUCAUCCUAAUUAAACAUAUUAAUAUAAUGAAAAUUCCUAUGGGAUAAAAUUCAUCAUAUCAAUAUAAUUAAUUACAAUCAAUGUCCAUUUCUAAAUAUGAUCCGGAGGCUCUUAAUAUAUAAUUUAAUUAAUUAAAGAUGCUGUGGCCACUCUCUAAUUAAUUAAUUAUAUGGACCAUUGGACAUUUAAUUUUAUGUAUAAAAUAACAUAAUAAAUAAAUACAUUAAGGGCAGAACCAUAAAUAAAUAAAUUGGCCAAGGGCAAGAUUGCAAAAACAUGAAAAAUUUGGGGCAAAAGUGCAAAAAGGAGCCGCGGGUGGGAGACGACGGGCGCGUGCCGAGCACGUGCGCGUCCAGCGCACAGGCGCGUGCUCGGCACGCGCCAAAAUCCGCGCGGGCGCGUGCCCCACACGCGCGCGUGAGAGCGCGUGGGCUCCACGCGCCUUCUUCCUCGCGAACAGAAGCGUUUUCUUCGCCAUUUUUCGCCGUUCCGCCGUGGUUUCGCCGGCCGUUUCUUCUCCGGCAGCCCAUUUCAUACAAAAAUAAAUAAUGGUUUUUGAAGAACAUGCCAGCACGACCACAUGGGUUCAAGUUUCGGCGAAAAUGAGCAAAAAUUGGCCCCCAAAUCAGACGAAAUUCUCCCAAAACACAAUUCCUUCAACCACCGCGACUUCUGCCGCCCAAUUAGCCUCCGGCGAACACCGAUAUGCCGAAAUAAUUCAUGCCUAACGUUCCUUAUGGCGGUGCGACUGUGCGGGUCUGAAAUCAAGGGGUGGGUUGCCGGAAUUUGCCCGGAAUUUGGGAGUUUCUCUCUUGGCCUCAACAUUCCGAGUUACUGUUCAUGUUCUAAAAGCCCGAAAAACACACCAAAAAUUUACCGAAAAUACACCAAAAUUUAACAAAACAAGGCAGAGGCUUUUAACACGCUCUGAUACCAAAUGUAAGACAAUAUAAUUCAUAUGCGGAAGCCAAGAUCAAUCGAAGACAAACCUCCAGCCAUUGUUCUUGUUCGCGUUCGUCAGAAAACCUAAAAUCAAACAAAAUUGGUGACACUCUACUACCCAAUUCACUCUCGUACUGAUGGUGUAUUCUGAAUGAGAGAGUUUGAGUUAGACCUUGUCAUCACACGUCAGAAAUGAACGUACGUUCCUAUUUAUACAUCGUCUCCCAUCAAGACGGGCGGUUGUCACGAAAGGGUACGAAGCGUGGAUCGAACAGUCGCAACUUUAAGAGAAAAUUUGGGUAAAAAAUGUGGGAUCACAAAAAAUAAAUAACAUUUGCAACAUCUUGACAUGAGUUAUUCUACAAUCAAAAUGCUUCCUAGUGCUAUUGGAAGGUUGAAAAAUCUACUGGCUCUAUUUCUCAAUGGAUACCGUCAUCUAGAAGGGGAAAUUCUCGAUCUCAAUGGCACAUCGAUAUUUAACCAGCCAGAAAGCAUUUCUCUCCAAGACCUUUACCUAGGAUGCCGUGACAAGCUCCAAUCACUGCCAGAGCUUCCUUCUUCUCUCCAACACCUGGAGCUAGGGGGCUACAACGAGCUCCGGUCACUACCAAAGCUUCCUUCUUCUCUCCAACACCUUGACCUAAGGGGCUGCGACAGGCUCUAGUCGCUGCCAGAGCUUCCUUCUUCUCUCCAACACCUUUACGUAGGGGGCUACGACCAGCUCCGGUUGCGGCUAAUGCUUCUCCAGUCUUUGCCAGAGCUUCCUUCUUCUCUCCAACACCUUGAGCUAAGGGGCUGCGGCCAGCUCCGGUCGCUGCCAGAGCUUCCUUCUUCUCUCCAAAGCCUGUACCUAUAGGGCUGUAAGGAGCUCCGAUCGCUACCAGAGCUUCCUUCUUCUCUUCAAAGCCUUGACCUAGGAGACUGCGAGGAGCUCCAGUUGCUACCAAAGCUUCCUUCUUCUCUCCAAAGCCUUAACCUAUGGGAUUGUAAGGAGCUUCAGUGGCUACCAGAGCUUCCUUCUUCUCUCCAAAGCCUUAACCUAUGGGUCUGUAAGGAGACGAAGGAAGCUCUCCUUCUUCUCUCCAAAGCCUUAACCUAUGGGGUUGUAAAGAGCUCCAAUCACUGCUAGGGCUUCCUUCGUCUCUCCAAUGCCUUAACCUAAGGGGCUGUAAGGAGCUACGGUCACUGCCAAAGCUUCCUUCUUCUCUUCAAAGCCUUGACCUAAUGAAUUGUAAGGAGCUCUGGUUGCUGUUGGGCUGUGAGGAGCUCUGGUGGUUGCCAACGCCUCCUUCUUCUCUCCAAAGCCUUAGGCUAUGUUUCUAUAAGGAGCUCCGGGCACUGCUAGAGCUUCCUUCUUCUCCCUAAAGCCUUGACCUAAGGGGCUGUGAGGAGCUCUGGUCGCUGCCAGAGCUUCCUUCGUCUCUCCGAAGCCUUGACCUAUUGGGCUGUAAGGAGCUCUAGUUGCUGCCGAGCUUCCUUCGUCUCUUCAAAGCCUUGACCUAUUGGGCUGUAAGGAGCUCCGGUCGUUGCCAAGCCUCUUUCGUCUCUUCGAAGCCUUAACCUAUGGGGUUGUAAGGAGCUCCGGUCUCUGCCAGAGCUUCCGUCAUCUCUUCGAUGCCUUGACCUAUCGAGCCAUGAUGAGCUCCAGUCACUACCAGAGCUUCCUGGCUUAACAAAUAUGUACGUCACUCGUUAGAGUCUUGGAUUGCCAUGGCUUCUUAGUGUCAAGGCCCUCAUCCACCUAGAAAGACUCAAUCUUGAGGUACGCCAUUUACUUGAAGACAUCCGCGAGCUUUCUUCAAUACCAUUGAAGCUCUGUUUUGAGGUGUGGGAUAAGCUGACAUCACUUUGGCUCAAAGGACUCACCCACUUGGAAGAGCUUUCAAUAAAAAAGUGCAGUUCCUUGGAGGUCAUAUCUUUACAGGACUGCAAUUCCAUUGAAAGGCUUCGCUGUCUAGAAUUACAGUGUUUGAAGGAAUUAAAGGCUGUUGGGUGCGGCAAUCUAGUCAAAAUUGAAGAUCUUGACGGUGCAGAGUUCUUAGAAAAGUUGGAUUUUGGGGGAUAUCACUCCUGAACUUGAUGAGGCUAUGCGGAGGUAGGUAUGCACUAAGCUCCUCCAUUUCUAUCCGUUUAUCCUUUGAAUGUUGUCAUAUAGGUUUCUGAUUUGAUAAGCUCAGUUCUCAUGUUUGUAGUAUUGAAUUAGUGAAGUUGAAACUAACCUCCUCACAAUCUAUCCCAAAUUGCUGAUUUUUGUUGAUUGGAUAUUGCCAAUGAUCAAGUAACAAGUACGUCUUUAUGUUCUGUAGUUUAGGCAUUUCACCUUUUUAGCAUAAUUUUAUUAUCAUCAAUGUUGUUCCUGAACACAAAUGAGGAAAGUGUUAUUGCUAAUUGUUUACUUCUUUUAAGCCUAUUUUUUUAUUUUUCAUCUGCUAGCUAAUGAAGUCUUUGUUCACUGUGGUUGAACAACGAUCGGUGUAAAUGGUGUUUUCGCAUUUGUACAUUAUCUUUCAUGGGGUAAAUUGUGAUGCUCAAUCUCGCAUUUCUUUAUUUAUUGAUAAUAAGUCAGUCCUAUGCUUAUCGUGUAGAUUCAAGCUGCAUUUCAUGGAACUUGGAGAAAGUCCCCAAACACUACACGAUGGAGAUGUGGGCGGGAAUGAGCUAUGUCAUUAUGAAAAUGUAUCUGAACCUAGUGGCGUUUAUCAUGUGCUCCGUGUUGUCAAUACUCUUCAAAGGAUUCUGGAUAUGAAGCAGCCUCUUCUCAUGUGGGUUAUUUGUCCUUUGCAAGCACAAAUCGCUUGCAGGAAGAUCGCACCUGCAGGUGGUUUUAUUUGUGCAAGUUAAGCAUAAAAUGAGAUUUGUCAAGGAGAUUACCAGUUAGAUGUCCACUUCAGGCUACAAUUUUUUGACUAGAAAAAUCGAAUGCCAUGGAAUCAGCAAAAAAUCUGUCAAUUGCAGCCAAGAAUUUCAGUGAAAAUGUUUACAAGAAGACAGUAGUUUCUCAUUUGGUUGAAUUUUGAACACAAAAGAAAGGUGUUCAGUAGUGUAAAAUCAUCUCUCUGGUCUGGUGUUACAUCAGAAAGUUCAUAUGUCCGCAUUUUGGAAUCACUUUUAUUGUAUAAUCUCAAACUUGAUUUAUUUAAGCAUGAAUCUAAAAGCUGAGGACCCAACCGUAUAUAUUUUCACACCUGAAACCUGUUUCUCUGCAUGAUUGGCUGCAGUUGAAGACUAAUAACAAAACGUGGACAACAUUUUUGGAGGGUGAAAGAGCCCUUCCCAAAAUUUACUCAUUUUCAUUGAACAAAAAACUUCUAAGGGUCAUCUAAUUGGUUUAUCAUGAGAUGAUACUCCACCAAAUUGGGUCACCGUUUCACACAUUCAAGUGUCAAUUGAAGCAAUUUCUUUGAGGUCACUGUCAAAUAUUCCUGUACCCAGUACUAGAUCACAAUGGUGGAAUUUUAGUAGUUGAAAGCUACUCACAAGGUAUUCAUGGUUUGAUGUGCUUAUUGUCCCCUUGAACUUUGACUCAAUUUUUCCAGCGCUCAAAACAAGGCCAAGUAGCUUGUUAAGCCACAUUUGAAUCUAUAAGUACUAACACAUGUAAUGCGGGUCAUGUUUACUUGUUAAAUGUACUUAACAUGAAAAAAUUUAAUUUCAUGGUCAAACAUUACACGAGAAAAGUCCCAAGUAAAGUCAAUGUAUUGGCUCUACACUUUAUUUACUUAGCUGCUUAGUUAGUGUCUAGGUAAUUAAUUCAAAGGGCAGUAGCUUUGUGUUUGACAACUUAUGGAACAUCAUUCACAGCCCCAUCAGCCGAAUUGAUUUGAAGUGGGAACGCGUGAAUAGACCGGAUAAUUGGAUUAACAUUUUGAACCGAUUGAGCUGAUGUGGUUUUGUUCAUGGGUUUUCCCCAUUUUUCUCUUCUACUUUCGUUUCAUGCUAACAAUUUGCUUGGAGCUUGUUUUUGAAAGUUCUAUCACAUUUUACAUCAAGAUCCUAUGAAUAACAGCCGUUCAAACAAUAACUAUGUAAGUUCCCAAAGGACAAGAGAAGAUUCGGUUCAGGCUCUUUGAUUUCCUCAUAUGUGUGACACCAAACUCGACAGAACAGUCGUUGAAAUAUGAAAACUAUCCUCAAACCAGAAUGGAAGUAUAGAAGGCCUUUCAGCUUAUUUAACACUUGCUAGCUGCAUGUUAGAAUGUAUAGCUUUGGUAUUUUGCCAUAUGAUGAAUCAUAUAAUGCAAAGGAAUUGAAAUAGACGAAAUGAGGAAUUACAGGGUUAAUGAACCCCAAAACGGAGACUUGAAACAACAUUUGGCCAAAAAUAAAAGUUCUAAACAACGAAAUCGACCACGAAAGUAGAUGUAAACGUCAAAUCCUAGAAAUGAAAGCAGUCAUCUUAUUUUGCAAUCAGCAUCAUGUUGUUGAGAAGAGAAAUUAGCAGGUCAGACAAUUUUUACUUUGCACAAGAAUGCAUGCAUGCAUGCAGAAUUAUGUUGAAGAUACAUCAGAAGGUAAAGAAAUUCGGGGAAAAAAAACUUUUGGCAAAUAUACAUAUAUGUGAAUAUCACAUACGAGUGGUCUCAUCUUCGUAUGUUUCGAAUGCUGGAGAUCGAUGAAUGAAACAAGGAUUCAAACAAACAUUAUAAUGGAAAGAUCAAACAUUGUGGCACUCUUCUGAAUACUUAAUUACCAUUAGAUACAUAUUAAGAUGAUUAGCCAAUAAAAAAAGCAAACCUCUUUGUUUCUUCCUGUCCGAUUUCAUCCUUCUCUCUCUUGAUGAAGAUGAGCAUGAUACUCCGUAAUUUCUACAUAUUAAAAAUCGACACAUAAAGCUCGAGCAUUUGCGCUUCAACCACCGGAACCCUUGUUUGAAAGAAGCCUUGAACUUGCCCUCGACCAAAUAAAGCUUGUAUCUGGCCACCCUCCUCUUCUUCGCUUCUCCGGGUCAUUCCACCACGUUUAUCGACUUCUAAAACGUAAGAAAUAGGCAAAGGCCAGAGUCCAUUUCGACUUACAACAUCAGGUUUGUCUAUCCCCAUCCCAAAGGCAAUGGUAGCACACACAAUCUGGACCUCUUCAGUAUGCCAUUUCUUUUGAACAGUGACGAGCUACUAAUCCAGCAUGAUAGUACACCAUUUUUGUAUGGCACUUCUCAUUCAAGUAUUUUGUAACGUCAACACAUUCACUCUUCCAAAAGCAAUAUACUAUGCCACAAAAAUUAGCAAAACAAUUUUUUAGCAGCCCUUCAAGCUGCUUCAAUGGUUCCUAGGUCUUAGCUAUGACCUCGUAUUUUAGAUCUACUUUGUCAAACCUUGGGUCCCCAAGCUUUGACAGACUACAUCUAAUAUAUGAGAAAAUGGGGAACCCAAGAGCUUUUAGGAUAUCCUGCGAUAUAUUUAUAAUUCAAUCAGAAUAAACAGAUUAUUUCAACAUAAUCAAGAUGUUAAUAUGUGAGUUUAGUACCCACGUACUAACUGAGUGGCAGGUGCAGUUAAGGCGGACAUACGGAAAGUUCUUCUUGAGACAUCCCAGUCCACUAUAAUCUAGCUGAAAUUCGUGUCCCCCUUGACUAAUAAUGACAACCACAAAAGUGACAAUCAAUGAACUUUACUCCUUAAUCAGUCUAAAUGUACAAGAAAAGCUCAAACCAGCAGCAUUUUCCUUUCAUGAGAUCAAACUGGCAGAGCAAAUCCAGUUAAGACCUUGUAAGAAACACAAUCAAUGAUCACAUGGUUGAACCUUUGCCUUUCUCAAGUUGUUACCAUAAAGUAUAAGUGUUAAUAGAAUAAACGGGGACACAAGAACUAGCUUAAGAGAUUUAGUAUCAUGCCAAACAUAGAUAGGAGAUUGGAUCCUUAUCCAAGCUUAUGUUGAUUCCAAUUACUCUGGGAAGUAAUUUCCAUUGUAGCUUAUUUAAGUUGUGCGCUCUUUACUCAAUAUAAUGAAAGAUGGGCCACUAAGUGUUCCCAAAAGAUGGAACCUAAAUCUUUUCAUCGAACAAGGAACACUGCAUUCUGUUAUAUGGAAAUUUCAUAGGGUUCUGGGCUUCAGAAGGUCUACUGUAACACUGACAAUUUAAUUAGGCUAGAAACAUAGAACAUGUAGAGAAGUUUGGAAAAAGAGCUUAAGUUAGCAUAUAUAAAAGCUCAAACCAGCAGUAUGUUCCUUUCAUGACAACCACGAAAGUGACAACCAAUGAGCUCUUGUUGUCAAUCAGGCAAAUGUACAAUAAAAGCUCAAACCAGCAGCAUGUUCCUUUCAAGAGAUUAAAUUGGCAGGGCAAAUCUAGUUAAUACCUUUUAAGAAACAUGAUCAAUGAUCAUGUGGGUGGACCCUUGCCUUUCUCAUGUUGUCAGUAUAUAGUAUAACCAUUAAUAGAAUGAACAGAUACACAAGAACGAGCUUAAGAGACUGAGUAUUAUGCCAAACAUAGAUAGCAGAUGGCAUCUUCCUUUCAUGAGAUUAAACCGGUCGAGCAAAUCCAGUUAAUACCUUGUAAGAAACACAAUCAAUGAUCACGUGGGUGGACCUUUGCCUUUCUCAAGUUGUCAGUAUAUAGUGUAACCAUUAAUAGAAUAAAUAGAUACACAAGAACCAGCUUAAGAGAUGGAGUAUCAGCAGAUGGCAUCCUUAUUCAGGCUUAUGCCACUUCCAAUUACUUUUGAUUGGACAUUUGAUUGGAUGAGAGACCCCAUAAGCAACUUACUAAAUGCUUUUGGACAUGAACAUAGUGUAGGUCCUUUGCUGCGUGCAGAAUCACAAGCAAAUUGGAAAUGAUCAAGUAGAGAAUAAAUUAUAAGAGAAAAGCACAGUCACACUGAUUUAAGUGGUUUGGCGGUAUUGUCUAUGUACAUGGGAGAAGCAUACCAUGGAUUCUAAAGAUUGUCUCCCCAGAAUUUAAGUGGAUGUAUUGCUUAGAGUACUGCUUUGGCCAGGAAUAUACAUGAGGAUUUCCUUCCCGUUUUACUGCCCAAUACAUCAUCUUUGUCUUCACCGUCAGUAGAGGAAUCCUCACCUCGAGGAAAGUUUGAUUUUUCACACGUUGUGGAGAAUCUUCUAUAAUAUUGACAUCGUGUAUAACAAUGCAUUCACCAUCAUUACAGAUAUCUUGGCCAAACAUAUUUGUCAAAACUCCACAAGCUUUUGAUUCCACAGCUUGCAAAUCAUCCCAAUCUUAAGAAUCUUGCAUGGUUUCAGCAAGUUCCGCUAGGAUGUCAUCGCCAGUGCUCCAUAGUGAUCAACUCUCGACCUUUGUCACCUUGAGAAAAGCAAAAGAAGUAAGAGAUGACUUUGCAAAAUCCGUGGCAAACAAGAGAUCAAAUAAAUACAAUUUCCAAUACGUAAUUUGCACUUAGUUCAAAGAGACACGACAUUGAUAUUAUUGCGAGACACCAUAAGUAAUUUGCAGUGAUUUAAGCCAGACAGUUCACUUGUCAAUAAGAUUACUCCACCAAACCCACAAAAAAACAGGGGAUGAGACUAACGCUCAAUGACCUAAACUCUGGUCCCAUUCAAAUCCAAAGUAGACCGUGAUUCCAUAGCCAUCAUCAGAUUCGAGACUAACCGCAAUAAAUCUCCUUAACUAAGAAUGCACGUUCAAUCGAAUGCACGUUCAAUCGAAUGCACAAACUAUCCCCGCAACACAAGCGAUUAAAGUCAUUCCUUGAUGACCAGAUAUCACGCAAUUUGGGCCAAUAAUCAAGAAAAAACCGCCGUUCAUCCCAAGUAACCUAAGCACAUCAAGCUGGAACAGUGCCGGACAUUUCACUCGUCAGUAGGACUGCUACUUCGCUAAACCCACUCCGAUGCAUUCAAACCUAAAGCAAGACGAUUCCACAGCCAUCAUCAUCAUCAUCGUGGGGACGAGAGCUACCUCCAUAAUCUCCGCAAACGCUAAUUAACAUAAGAACACGCGACGAAAUAACGAUUCGAGUCACCAUAGAGCGAAACGAGAUGGCCCGAGCACUUGCUGGCGAUAAGUGCUCGGGCGAACUGCUUGUCGAAGCUGAACUCGUGAACCGAGCUUAGUAACCGAGCUUUCUCUUCCUCUGAGCCCCGCUCCCUCCAUGGAACUUCAACCUGUUCGAGUGAUUCGAUCGAUCGAUGAUGCCCGAGUCGGAAUCGAAUCAAUCCGUAGCCUCAAAUUGGAAUCGAGCUCGCUCGAAGUGCUCUUGUUCGAUAACCUUGCCAACGAUGGCGGGAUUGAUGUUUUUCGUUUUCCAAUUUUAUACGCCGGAGAAUGGGAGAGACUUGGAGCCAUAUUUUUCAGUUCUUUUUUUUUUCGCAAUUCCGUUUUGCCCCUGAAGUUUGUUUAAGUUCUAUUUUUGCUCCCCCAUAAGUUUUUUUCUGGUUUCAUUUGACACCCUUGGGUUCGUUCUGUGUGAAGGCUCCCUUGCAAACACGAGACUUGCAUGUCGUACUGAAAGUUUUACAUUUACGAGACGUAUCUCAAAUUUCUUUCCUGUUGAUUGUUUAUCUGCAAAGCAAAAAAUUGACAUAGUAAUGCCUUUUCUUUAAUUUACAUUUUCACCUUUCUCUAUAUUAAUAUAUAUAGUUCAAUGGAACGAUUUUCAAAUUUUAGAAAAAUAGCGUUUCCAUAACUACUUUAAUAUUUUACUAAAUAUACACAAAAUUAGUGACACAUAGGCCGCAAAACUUUAUGAAAUAUAAAGAAAAUUACAAUCAAUUUAAUAUUUAACUAAAUAUACAUUUCCAAAACUACUUCAAUAUUUUGCUAAAUAUACACAAAAUUAGUGACACAUAGGCUGCAAAACUUUACGAAAUAUAAAGAAAGUUACAAUCAAUUUAAUAUUUUACUAAAUAUACGUAAAAGAAAGUUAUUUUCAAUUAUGACUGUGUUUGUUUCGCGAAGAAAAUACUUUUUCCAUAAUAUCUAAUAUUUCGGACGCGAAAAAUGGGUGAUAAAAAAAAAAUUCUAUCGUCUCCGCCGCUCCUCCUCCGCUGCUGUCUUGUCCUUCUCUUCUAGAUAGUAGAGCAAACCUCUCUCUCUCUCUCUCUCUCUCUCUCUCCUAACAUAACAUUGAAACCUCGUCAAAUCUGAGAAAUAAUCAUUCGAUUUUGAUCAAAAAAAUAUGUUUUGAUUGAUCGAAAUGAUAGCGGUAUCAAAUCUUCCUUCGCGUUGUCGGGAUUACUUUGCCCAAAAAAUUGAACUAUUGCCUCAUGAGAUUGUCAAUCUGUAGCCAAAGACACUUAUUUUCAGCCAACAAAUGUUGACAAAUGCGUAGUUCGUUCACAUAAUGCUUGGUGUGCUGAAUUUGUAGGUGAUGUCGGAAGGAAGUAGGAAAUGGGUCGACCACAAAUGAAUAGAUAAGACUGUCUAUUUAGUGAUAAUUGUCAUGCUUUGGUAGUAAAGUUUGGAGGGAAGUGACCAUAAACUGGUUGGAAUAAUUUAGUUGGAAGACAAUUUGUUGAUCCGGCCUUGUGCUAUAGAAUAUGAUAAUUCAUGCAUAUAUCUCGACCUGGACAUUUUUGUGGGAAGGAAAAGCAUAAACUGGAUUCAUUACUAACAUUGCGCUAUCAAUUUUUGUCGAAGCAAUCGAUCUACUCUUGCAUAUCAUGAAACUGUGAAAUAUUGACCUGGACCAAAGGUUACUCCUUUUGCAGUUGAUUUAGUGCUUCAUUUGCGUUGUGGGGAUUGCCUAUUCUAUUGAAUGGGAUGGGUCAGGGAUGAUAGUGAUGUGCCUUAUCAUGAUGUAGUGUUUAUUAGUUUGAUAGUCAUCUUGCCUUAUCUAAUGAUUUGCAAAUGGAAGACAAUGUGGCCUAGCUGAAGUAAUUUGGUUGGGAGAAUGUCAUCUGGCAUUUUGCUUUUAGAAGCUAAUGGCAUUUUUUGUCGUGUAUUCGCUGCUAUUGGGAUGUCUGUUUUGGUCUUUAACAUGGUGUACCUAUGUUUGAGUUGAGUGACAAGUGAAGAGGCUUUGAAGGCAUUGGUGGGCAUUGCUCUGAAGUGGCUGAAAUAGAGACGUGGAGCUGCAUUUUCCCUGUAGUUUAGCUGCAUUUAGGUCAUAUACAUUGGCACGAAUUAGCUCUCUUAUAGAGUGCCAGUCAUUACCGGGUGCGUAUAUUUGAAACAAUUUUUGGUAGAAAUUGAUGUUUUUGGUUCUUAUUGAAAAGCAGCUACUUUGUAUAUUCAUAAGCAAAUGUAUCUACUGAAAUUGAUGUUUCUUGGUUCAUAAGUUUAGUUCUACCUUUGUGUGCUUUGCUUACAUCUUGAGCCCAACCAUCCAAUCCUGACUGCAUGAUGCUUCUUAAGUUUGUGACUCAAUAAUUCACAAAUAUUCCCAAAUACUGCUCUAAAUUGAUAAUUCUUGAACAUGGCAACUGAGUUUGUGAAACAAUUUUCUCAGUUUCAAGUACAGUUGUGACUUGGCAAUCUCAUUUCUAUUGAUGUGAGGAAAAUGUCACAAAUGGUCCAUGGACUUCUACUUAAUGUGCAAUCUCGUCCCUGAACUUUCGAUUGGUUCAAUUUGGUUUCUAAACUAUCAAUAUAUGUCCAAUCUAGUCCAUGACUAUUUGAAAAUGGACCAAUUUCGUCAUUUCGUUAGUUAAAGUUAACAUAAUUGGGGAUUUUGGUCUUUUUCUUCUUCUUCUUCUUCUUCUUCUUCUUCUUCUUCUCUCUUCCCUCCGCCGGCCAUGGCAAAGCCGACGGAGGGAAGCCGGCAUCAGGCGAGGGCCGUCCUCGCUGGAUGCAAGCAAGUUGGCGAGGGCCGCCCCUGCCUACGUCAGGCGAGGGCCGUCCUCACCCGACAUAGGCGAGGGCUGCCCCCGCCUGAGUCUGGCGAGGACGGCCCUCGCCGGACGCCGACUUCCCUCCGCCAACUCUGCCAUGGCCGGCGAAGGGAAGAGAGAAGAAGAAGAAGAUAAAAAGAAGAAGAAGGAAAAACAGUUAAUUUUUAACAAAAGAAUUAGAUCGGACGAUUAUCGAUAGUUUAGGGACCAAAUUGAGCUAAUCAAAAAUUCAGGGACGAGAUUGCACAUUAAGUAAAAGUCUAAGGACCAUUUGUGACAUUUUCCCAUUGAUGUGUGAUAGAAGUUACUAGUGACAUGGAAUUGACAAUUCAUUGUGUAGAUGGAUAAGAUAAAAUUUAAGUGGCAAAAGCAAGUGCCUCUAUAGCAGUCAUGACUGUUAUCACAUUGGUUACAGAUGAUUAUAAUCAUUGGAAAGAUCAUAUAUUUGGAAGUGGAGAGCUUGGAUACCGUUGAUAAUGUCAAAGCUUAGGUACAGGACAAGGUAGGCAUUCUCCCAGAUCAGCAGAGGUAUAUUUUUUUUUUCCAGGAAGCAACUCAAGGAUGGCUAGACAAUCUACAUCUUGUGCUUCGCCUUCGAGGUGAAAUGCAGACUUUCUCAACUUUUUAGAUGUCGAACAACUUCGAAUUAUCUCCUAAAAAAUCUCUCAUGAAAUGUCAACAGUGCGUAUUUUUUCAAUGGAUAGCUAAUUUUACACCUAGUAGUAAAGUUCCAUCAUUCUAUCUGUAUCAAAGAAUUAUUUCUCCACCAUCUAUACCAAAGCAUUAUUUCUCAAGUUCCUAAAAAUAAUUGCUCUUCAUUUAUCAUAUUUCACAAUCGGAAGAAUGAUUGUUGCAAAACACGGCUCUUAAAUUUGCAAGACUAUUAUGCUAAAAGUUUCUAACAAUAAUUCCUUAAACUUUGGGAUGUAAAGAAACUACAAAAUUUUGGAGGGACCAAGUUCCUUAAAUGAAUAUGAAAAUUUUUGUAAAUAAAGAAAAGCAUCAGCAAGGGGGGCCAGGAAAGAGACAUGGAUUGCUACCAUUCUUAGGGUGGAGCUAACUAUCAUUGAGAGAGACCACAUCAGGUUUGUCUAUUCCCAUCACAAAGACAAUGUCAGCACAUACAAUCUGGACCUCUCCAAUAUGCCAUUUCGUUUAAAAAGCUACUCUCUGGCAGGCUGCUAAUCCAGCAUGACAGCACACUGUCUUUAUACGGCACUUCUCAUUCAAGUAUUUUGCGACGUCAACACAUUUACUCUUCAAAAGGCAAUAUAUUGUGCCACAAAAAUUAGCAAAACAAUUCUUUAGCAGCCCUCCAAGUUGCUUCGGUGGUUCCUUGUCUUAGCUAUAGCCUCUAUUUUAGAUUUGCUCUGUCAAAGCUUGUCUCAAGAACAUGAGCAUGGGGAAUCCUAAGAGCUUUUAGGAUAUCCUACAAUGAUGUAUAAUUCAAUUAGAACAAACAGAUUAUUUCAACACAAUCAGGAGGUUAACGUGUAAUUUUAGUACUUCACGAACUGACUGAGUGGCAGUAGCAAUUAAGGCCAUCACUGGGACAUACAGAAAGUUUUGCUCGAGAUAUCCCAGUCCCUGAUAAUCUGGACAAAAAUCAUGUUCCCAUUGACAACAAUGAUGACAACCACGAAAGUGACAAUCAAUGAGCUUUUCUCAUUAAUCAGUCAAAUGUACAAGAGAAGCUCAAACCAGCAGUACGUUCCUUUCACGAGAUCACAUUGACAGAGCAAAUCCAGUUAAGACCUUGAAAGAAACACAAUCAAUAACCACAUGGGUGAACCUUUGUCUUUCUCAAGUUGUUAACAUAUAGUAUAACCAUUAACAGAAUAAAAAGGGACUCAGGAACCAGCUUAAGAGACUGAGAAUCAUGCCAACAAAGACAGGAGAUGGGAUCGUUAUCCAAGCUUGUGCCGGUUCCAAUUACUUUGGAAAGUAAUCUCCAUUGGAGCUUAUUUAAGUUGUGUCUUCUUUACUCAAUAUAAUGAAUGAUAAGCCACUAAGUGUUUUCAAAUGAUGGAACCUAGAUCUUUUCUAAAGUUCAAACAACGAACACUGCAUUUUGUCAUAUUAUAACUUCAAAGGGGUCUGGGCUUCAGAAGGUUUAGUGUAACACAGACAAUUUAAUUAGGCUAGAAACACUGAAAAUGCAAAAAGGUUUGGAGAAAGAGUUUAAGUUUGCAUAUAUAAAAGUUAACUUGCUUAGCUAUAUCAGCAACAAGAACAAUAGUUUUGCAGUGUUAACAUUCAAAUACUUAUUUCUUUUGAAGUAACUCUAGCAUAAUUUUUCUUCAUGUACGAGGCAUACCAAAGAUUAUGCAUACCUUGCGCAAUGUGCCUCAUCAACAACAAAACCAGCUAGUUGUGCCCACAAUGCAUGAUGGUUGAAUAUAAAAAAUUUAUAAAGAACCUUUUCGAAAAAGUUAUGGUGCAUUAGAAACAAUACCCUUUUAUGCAAGCAUUUCAAUAUCUCGAGAAAUGACGGGUUUCCCACAAUCCUUUAAGGAGUUGCAUACAAUAGUUUGCAUGAUGGUUUAUCUUUUCUGGAAAGGCAGGCAAAGCAGAAUUGGAGAUUAAUAAUUUGACGGUCACAACACUCAGCAUAAAAGCUUUAGAAGUCCAAUAUAGUUAAACCUUUGCCUUAGUUUUUGGAGGACAGCUGCUGCUUGGGCAGCAGUUUGUUGAGAGUUCAAAAAAGUAGAUGGUAUUCCGCACUUAAAGGGUUGGAGUAACUAAUUGAUCUUGGACGAGAGAUAGCAACGAGAUAUAACAACUGUGAUGCCUGAUUUAAGAGUUGCUGGCGGCUAAAACAAAGGGUAAAACCAUCAGAAGAACACAUGAAGAAAAGAAGGGGCAAGCAAAUUAUUAUUUCUUUCACCAUCAGCUGAUUAGGAAGGACCAGUAGUCACUACUUGUCUUAUAACUACUUUCAGCUAGAAACAUAUAUCAACCCCCUCAAGACUGAACAGAAAACACUUCCAAUAAAUUCAGAUUAAUACUUCGUCCUUAAUUCAGUAAAUCAAAUAUCUUGCAUGCUACCAAGAUCCAUUGUAUAUUAAAGGGCAUUCAUUUCAUACCAAUGAUAAAAAAAAGAAGAAGUCAUAUAUCAUCACCCCUUGUGAGAUAAUGGCAUAGCCAAUAACUGCGAGGAAAUUUAGAAAUCUAGAACCCAUAUUUGGUGGAAGUACUUUGAAAAUUAUUCCUCUUUGACUUAGUAACCCAUUUGGAUUGGACCUAAAUUAAGACUGACAACAACACUUGCAUGCAUAAACAAGAUGAAUUUUCCAAUCAGUGAUCAGAAGGUCCUAGAUGCUGCAUUGGUUGAAAUGAAGCAAUCUUGCUUGGCUACAGAAGAUUUACAAGCCUGAUGCUGCAUUGAUUGAAAUGUCUUAUUUCUGAAUAUUACAACAUUUGUCAAUUCUAUGUCAUCCAAGGCUUGCAAUUCCUCAUGACUCAAAGUUCCUUGUUUGCAUGUCAAAAUUUGAGAGCAAUGUCUUUUAUUUGAAACUGACGAUAUCGAAUCUUGAGUGACAGUGUUCUUGCAAUCCUUCAACACAAAUAAGCCUCUCCGGCACCAUAAAUACUUUCUGACAUGGGAGUGAUGGAAAAUGAAAAUUGUGCACAAAGAAAUCCCAAGCCUUCAUUUCGCAAAAAACUCCUAUCAAAGAUGCCGGUUGCUAAGUCCAACACCUGGAUGAUGUAAUAUACUUUCAAAACAAAAAUCAACUGUUUUUAUUGACCAAAUGGUUCUAAUAUAAGUAAUUUUAGAUCUUAAAGACUGAAGUAACUGGCAAAAGUUAUGAAUGUCUUAUACAUAUGAUUGGAUGAGAGCCCUCAUAAGCAAUUUACUAAAUGCUCUUGUAUAGACAAACCUGCGUAAGGUCCUUGAGGAGGUUGCCAAACACCCUCUCUUUGGCUGAAGGGGCUUUGGGGGCUGGAUGGGCUUUCUAAAUGCCCAUCCAAACGCACCCUAUGUGCGAAGGUUACUUUGGAAACGGAAGACUUGCAUAUCAUACUAGAGUUACAGACAUAUCUAUUACUAUGCGUCAGUCAAUAAAAGACAACAUCGAGAAAGUAAUACCCUUCCUUAAUUUACGUUUUUACCUUUCUAUAUAUAUAUAUAUAUAUAUAUAUAUAUAUUUUGGUCUGAAUACCUUUCUAUAUAUUAAAUAUAAAUAUGUGCCUUGCCCGGGGUGCGUGGGUGGUGGUUUCCUGCGUGUCUCCCCAGGGUUUACUCCCUGGCUGUCGACCGUGCGGCGGGUUCCCUGGGUCACAAAAAAAAAUUAUAAAUAUCAUAGCGGAAUGAUUUUCCAAACUUUAGAAAAAUAGCAUUUUCAACACUACUUUAUCAUGGAUGGGAACGAAACUUCAUAAGUCAAAGCUCUCUUUUUUAUGGGAUUGGUCUUAUAUUCAACAUGGACCGUUAAAUAGAAAGGGAAAAAACAUGACUUUUCCAAGUCUGUUUUGCAAAAUCGAUUUUCUUUCAUCACUUUCAAACAUUAAAGGAAAGUUAUAGACGUGAUCAAAUUAUCGUUUGAUUAAGAAAAGUUACAAUGAGUAAGGAAAUUUAUAAAGACAAAGAUCUAAAAAAUUUACGAAGUGCAAAGGAGAGUUAGAGGCUCUCUCUUUAAUUUUUUGACGUGAUCAAAAUAUCAUCUAUAAUGGUCAUCAUUUUAUUAAUUAUCAAUUAAUUUGUAGCGGUUUUCUAACAACUCUCUCUUUUGUUUGAAUACAAGAUUAACCAUAAAUCCACAAUCUUUCAAUAUACAUCCAACUCACAAGAUUCACAUGUCUUUCCUUGUCUAGCUGGGCUAUGCACAUAACAUGUUCCCAUUCCUUCUGUUAUUCCAUGUAGAGUUUUAUCUCGUGAAGAUAGCCACUAGAGCCCAUCGUACCGACUUUCAUGCUCUGAAGGGAGAAAUUGAUCUCGAGGAUAGUGCUUGAAUGCCUCAAACAAUAUAUCUUAUAUUUUUUCAUCAUUUUUAAUAUAUUUCCAACAAUUCUUUCUCUUUUAUUCAUAUUAUCUAAUAUUUUUCCAACAUUUCCAUGGAGAAAGGGCAAAACCAAAGCAAGAGAAACAAAAGGGAUGCACUAUUUCGUUUCACAUCAUUCCUUUGCGGUGCUCGUUGUGUCAAUUAUUCUUUUUAUCCUUAUAUUUAGGGGUGUGCAUGGUCCGGGCGGGCGGUUCCCGACCUAGAACCAGGAACCGCCCGCUAAGUACCGGUUCCGAAAAAUGGGAACCGGGAUCCACCCGGGAACCGGACCGCCGGUCCGGUCCGGUUCCCGGGUGGAUCCAUGGAACCAAUUUUGACGCGGGCGAUGCUGGUUCUUCGGGAUCUGCAGAAGGGUCGCUUGGGCGAGAGGCAGCGGUGGAGCUGGGUCACGGGUCGUUGAACUGGAUCACCGGUCGCAGGGAGGCUAAACGGCGACGGCGUCAGGGCUGAGAUGAGCUCAGAUCUGUAGUCGUCGAGCGAGAUCAGCGUGGCUGAAGCAGGGAACGCCGAACGUUGGUCGCAGAUGGGUCUCGUGGGUUGCUGGAGUCGCGGCCACCGGCGUGAAGAAACGAGCGGUGGUUGUGGUGCUGCACGUCGGGGGGAAGGCGGAUCUGGCAGGGAGGCUGAACGGCGACGGGAUGAGCUCAGAUCUGUAGUCGUCGAGCGAGAUCAGCACGGCUGAAGCAGGGGACGCCGAGCGUUGGUCGCGGAUGGGUCUCGUGGGUUGCUGGAGUCGCGGCCACCGGCGUGAAGAAACGAGCGGCGGUUGCGGUGCUGCACGUCGGGGGAAGGCGGAUCUGGCAGGGAGGCUGAACGGCGACGGCGUCAGGGCUGAGAAGAGCUCAGAUCUGUAGUCGUCGAGCGAGAUCAGCGCGGCUGAAGCAGGGGACGCCGAGCGUUGGUCGCGGAUGGGUCUCGUGGGUUGCUGGAGUCGCGGCCACCGGCGUGAAGAAACGAUCGGCGGUUGCAGUGCUGCAUGUCAGGGGGAAGGCGGAUCUGGCAGGACGACGAUGGCGGAGGUGCGGAGCUGUCGCAGGCGCGCGGGUAUGAGAUCGGAGCGGCGCCGACAGGAGGGUGGCGGACGACUGGGCUACAGCGGCUUCGCGGCUAAAAAAAAUGAGGCGGACGCACAGGUCACCGAGGAGGAAUCGAAAUAGCGAGAGGAACUGAGGAAGAGAGAGAGAGAGAGAGAGAGAGAGAGAGAGAGAGAGGCAGCCGCAGAAGAGAAGUGGAAGAGACAGAGAGAGACCUAGGUUUGUUUUAGAAAUAUUUUUUUUUUAAUAUUAAAAGGGAACCGGUCCGGUUCGGGUGGGCGGGCGGGUGGAUCCGCCCAUGGAACCGGGAACCGGACCGGUUCCCACCGGUUCCCAAAAACUGGAAUCGGGAAUCGGACCGGUUCCCUCAAGAACCGCCGGUUCCGGGCGGUUCCGGUCCGGUUCCGGGCGGUCCGGGCGGAUCCGGGUAUUUUGCACACCCCUACUUAUAUUCAAUCAUCUCAAGAAGAAAAAACAAAAAUGCUGCAAAAGAUAGCAUCAAGGGAGUAUUCAUGCUCCUUCUUCAGUAUCUUAUAACAAGUUAUUGCUCUACAUAUCAAUCAAUUAUUUAAAAUUUCUAAGUUUAAGAGAAUAACUCGGUGAUAUCAUAUCGUUUUAAAAUACGUUGGAUUUAGAUGAAAUCGUUAGCUUGUGGAGCUAGCGCGGAAUAAACACGAGCCCAUUUGUUUAUCUCCACCCCACGUUUGCAACUCCAUUUAGGGAGAUGGGCCGCGGAUAUACUUUUGAAAAUUAGCCAACUGGGCUCCAGCGUCCAAGACACAGCGCCUCCACCCAUGGCACGUGAUCAUGUUCCAGCGUAAAAUCAACGCGGAACCGCGUUAUCCGAUUCCCAAGUACAAGUUCUCCCUACUUCCAGAUCUGAAGCGGAGGAAGCAGCGAUCUUCUUUCUCGCGAAUCCACCGAGCAGUACACCCGAGGCCGUCGCGAAGAGCACCUGCAGUCGCUCCUUCCGAACCACCGGAUUCAAAGGACUGGUUUUUUGGCGGGCACCAAUCAGCAGG